UUUGACAAUAUAUAUCUUAUCCUUGAUUAAUUUAUAUGAAUGAAUAUCAAGUGUAACGUAAAAUAUUAUUUGUGUUGCACAUGACAUGCGGACAAAAGAAUGCAAAGAUUCCUUAAAUUAACAAGAUUCAAAGUAUGAUAUAGAAAAGAAUUUAAAAUUAAAAAAAAAAAAGUAAAAUAGAAAGUUGAAUUUAACAAGAUUCAUGUACAGGAAGAAAAAGAAUUAAUAAAGUGAUGAAAAAUUGGUAAUCGUGGCAAGUAAUCUUAUUCAUGUACGAGGCGGCACGACCCAAGACUUGGAGAUUAAAUAAUGAAACUUCUUUGCAAACGAUAGAAACUCCAAUUUAUGGAGAGACUUGACGAGUAUUUUAUCAUUUUAUGCAUGGAAAUCCACGUGCAUGCAUGCAUGUUCUCCACGCUUGGAAAUUUUGCAAAUGGCUUCUCCCUUUAAUGGGAUGCACAGUUUUCGUACAUCAAUAUUGAAAAUGUCCUCUAACAAGUGUCUCAAUUAUUGGAUAACAUGUGCAGUCCUUGUAAUUCAUUGAUAACACGUCCCUCAACAAUCUAUAAUACAUCAAACUACCAAAUUGGCCAACAAAUCGAUGAUACUUAUGUUUUGAAAAACUAUCAUGUAAUUGAUGAUUAUAUCAAAUUUAACUAUAUAUAUUAUAUAUACAUUAGUUGAUUGUAUUGGUUUUGAUGUAUUGUAAAAUUUUUGAUUUUAUGGGCAUAUAAUAUAGAUUAUCAAAAUUUAAGUUUCUUCACAUAUGCGCGCGCACACACAUACACACACAUAUAUAUAGGAGUGACUAAUGAGUCUUUUUCUUUUCUCAUUUUGAGAAAAUCUCAAGUACAUAAAACUUAUUAUAACCAUUUAGUGAAAUUAGUUAUGACAUACGCAUUCUGAUUUUAUUAUACUAUAAUUAUCUUCUUCUUCUUUUUUUCCAACUUAAAUGUACACGUACGUGAUCAAUGACUAUGGAUUAUGUAAAGGAGUUUAUCAUUUUAUUGAAAUUCUAACGAUUGUCAAAGCAUAUUAAAGGGAGAUUGGCAGUUUUCUUCAUGUAGAAAUUAAUACAUACCAUUUCCAUUUCUCUUCUUAUUGCUUCUAUAAUAAUCAAUAACUUUCAUUCAUCAUAAUUUUAUAGUAUUAUUCUUAUUUUAAGAUAUUUUAAAAUUUAUUUAAUUAUUCAUCUUUAUUAUUAAUUAAAUGAAUUAUAUAAACAGAAAUAUAUAUUUUGUCUUUAAACAUAUUUUCUUAUAGUAAAUAUAUAUUUUAUAUUUUUAAAAUAAAAUAUCAAGUAAAUGACCUAUUUACCUUUACUUUCUUUUAAGUUUUUUUUAUACGAAGAGAUUAUUAACUAUUAUGAAAAUAAUAGACGAAUAAAUAUUUUACAUAAAUUUCGACAGGGAGAAACUAUCAAUACUCUUAAACGAUUGAACCUUCAGUAUCUUAGUAGUUGACUGUGAAUGACAUUUUAUUCCACCCCAUUGCAAUUGUUGCUUGUUUUCCACGGAUAUCUUGAUUACGUUUGCAAGCUUAUGUUAUAAGGGCUUCGUCAUUGCCAUUAUUACGAAAUUAAAUAGACUACGAUUGUUGACCUAAUUUGAAAAUUCCUCCAUUGUUUAUUAUUUUUCCCUUUUUAAUUUAUCAAUAUCAGUCAUAUCAAGUCAUUCUUUUAAUCAAAAACCUUGGGGAAGACGAAAUAUAUAUUAACUUACUGUCUUUUCUCAAUAACUUUUUAGGUGAGAUUAGUUUAAUAAAUUACAUGAUAAAUAAUACUCUUGCUUGAGUCUAUAUAUAUAUAAUUAUAUAUGAUAUAACAUUAAGAUUCUUUUUUUUUUGUCGUAAUACAUAGAAUUGUUCGUACUAUUAUUAUAACAAAAUAAUUAAAAUUUAUGAGUUGAAGUUGUCAGAAAAAUAAACUUAUUUCCAAUGAAUGGCAUUUGGAGGAACAAAAUCAAUCCGGAAGUUUUUUACGCGGAAAAAAUCAAUUAACAUUAAUGACGUCCAAAUGUCCAAAUAUGGUGAGAAAUUGAAUUCUUCAAAACCUUGCUGUUUCUUCAUAUUUCUUUACAAAUUUACCGAUUCUUUACUCUAAAUUCUAGUAUUAGUCUUCAUACAUACAAUGGAAACUUAUUCUCUAAGAUACUGUAAAAAAAAAAAAAAAAAUUAACAAAACCUAAUAAUUUCAUAGUGCGCAAGCUAAUAUCAUAGCUAAAAUGAAGUUGGUAAAUUUUGAUAUAACUAUCUAUUAUGAAUGAUAAUUACGUGGGCCUAAACGUUCCAACUUCCGAAUACAUUAUUCUAUAUUUUGGAGAGAAAAAGGAAAAGGCAAAAUCUUUUAGAUAAGAAAAAAAAACUUUUUUUUUUCCUCAUGAAAAAGCAAUUGAAUUAAAAAGUAAAAAUUUCUUUACAUUUUCGCCGGAGAAACAGAGUCAAAUUCAAAUACGACGACUCAAGCGCAAAAGCCUAUAAAUAAAGCCCGGCUCCAGUUCCCUGUCAGAGGCUACGGAUUUGAGAGAUUAAAGAACAUCAACCGAACAGUGAGACUCCGUACUCUUGACACAAACUUGCAAAAACUUUUAGGUAAUUUUUUUCGAUUAAUUUUUUAAUUUUCGAGAAUAAAGAGAGAGAGAAAAAAAAAAAAACAGAUGGGAUUAUGUUUGUCUGGGAGUGAUGUGAGGGGAGGGAAACAAGCCGUAGGUGGGGCCCACCUCCGGCCCACCAGCGCGGCUGAUCACCACAAUGUCUCUGGUCAAAAUGACGCCGUUGAUUUCUUCUUCAAAUCUCGCGGCCUUCAUGCCCUUUUCACCCAAAUCGAGGUAUAUGUGUGUACCUGAAUUAUAUGAGUCUUUCACUGCCAUUAUUAAUAAACUAUUUUCAGUUAAUUAAUUAAUUAAUUAAAAAUCUAUGAUUAGUUUAUGUUUUUUAAUUUAUUUAUAAUUUUUUAAAUCUGAUUUCGUUCAUGUUGGUAAUUGUGAUGGAUUCUCAAAUGGUCACUCUUUUGAAAAUCUAUUAUCAAAUUAUGUUUGUUAUUAUUACUUAUUUGAUGACUUUUCAGUGUAACAUCGAACAACUUAAAUCAUUUAUAUUUGAUAAAAGUUAUUUGAUAAUUCGAACAUAACUAGAGAGUAGAUUCCUAUUCAAGAAUCAACCGCAAUCCCAAACAUGCCUUUUUUUUUUUAAUUUGUUCUGGUGGCUGAUCUUUUGCUAGUGUUGGUUCGACGGUUUCACACCAAGCAACUGCUUUUGUUUUGCAUAUGGAGAACAGUAAGUUUAACUGCUUAUACCCAAUGAUAACAUUCUGUGAAGUGAAUUUUAGAUUAAGAUUGGUUAAGGUAAAUAAAAAAAGAAUGGUGUUGAAUGCACAGUGGCCUUGUGAACAUUGAAAAAGUCGAUGUUUGAUCCUGUUGAAUGCACAGUGGUUUUCCUGUGUAUCCUCAAAGUUGACUAUUCUGUUAUGCCUCAUUUAUCAAAUUUGACUCAUACCCCUCGUGAUCAAAUUUGACUUAUACCCCUCGUGAAGAUUCCCCAUGAUAAUGCUCCCCUGAUUGGAACAUGAUUUUGUGAAUGCUGGUUUGCAUAAGACAAACCAUUAACUUUAUAAAAGAUUGUGGAUUAAGGAUUUUGUUGUUACGAGGAUAAGAAUGUCUUUCCAUAACGUAGACCACCAAGUGAUUGUAAUAUUCCUGUAUUGAUGUGGACCUUACCUGAGGAUCUCCUUGCAAACUUUCCUGGAGAAAAGGCAACAAGUCAUAUGAUAACAAAUUAAAUGUGGUUCAAUGCUUGUAAUUGACGUGUCACAUCCUGUUGUUAUAUAAAACUUAAUUACAUAUAUUAUUGCUUGCUGCUUAUAAGAUUUAAUAUUAGAAGUGAUUCUGUCAGAAUCCGAAAUGAUGGUUUUCUGCAUGUUCUGUUUAUGACAGAUAUAUAUUGCCUGUCAGUUGACCCACAUCGUACUGACAAUUUUCAUUUCGUGCAGCAUAUGCAUGGAUUACUCCUUUUCCGCUUUUUCAUGUAUCUGUAUUCGUUCUUAUGUUUUUGAAUAUGUAUUGCAGUUAUCUUUAUCUGCUUCAAAGUUACGUGAUCUUGACAUCGCAUCAAAGGUACGCCUUCAUAUCAUUGUUGUCUUAUGUCUGAUAAUGCCAUGUUCAUGCUGUUGAUAGUCUUGGUGAUUGAUUCUCAUGUUAUCUUGUAUCCUCCUUAUAUGAUCUGCUUAUUUGUUCAUAAUGGCCCUGUCAAUUUCCUUUCUCUGUUCAUAAAGGGUCUAGGGAUAUAUGAUCUGAAUAACGCUUAGUGCUGGCACCAAAAUUCUAAACUUAGACAAAGAAGAAUAGUUUGUUAUAUACACUGUCUAUCUCCAAUGUAAUCCAGUAAGGAGCAGUAACUUGAGAGUUCCAGAUAAUGUAUAACAAGUCAUGGUCGGUGGUUUUAUUGUUUUUGCAAUUUUGAGCACUAGUCAAAUAUGUUAUAUGUGCAAGAUAAAAUUCUUUGAUAAUGAACAUUUAUCAGCCGUAUAUCUUUUUACUGGCUGAUACUAGCAUACAUAAAAUGCUGCUGUAUUUUAACAAUGGAUUACUAACUAAAGUUAUUUAACUAAUAAAUGUCUAUAUUUAUAUGACAACUAAAGUUAUUUAACUAAUAUAUGUCUAUAUUUAUAUGACAUAAGUGGAUACAUACCCAUAUGCCUUCUGUUUUUUUUUUUUAAUUUUUAUAUUCACAAGCAAAUGUAUUUACAUGUCUUUUUGUGUCAUAGAGUGAUCCCAUGGCAGUUGUGUAUGCAAAGAAAAGAGAUGGGAGGCUGGACGAGAUUGGACGUACAGAGGUGAUUAUGAACAAUCUGAAUCCUGCUUGGAUUGGAAAGAUUUCAAUUGCUUUUCAGUUUGAGAUUGUCCAGCCCUUGGUGUAAGUUUUUAGUGUGUUCUUUUUAAAGUUUUUUUUUUCUUGAUAGGUCAUGCGCUUAAGCCUUGCUUGAUUUGAUAAUAUUUAAUGUUUUCGAAUUUCUUAAUGCUUUUCUUCUUUUUCCAGCUUUCGUGUGUAUGAUGUGGAUACCAAGUACCACAAUAUUCCAGUGAAGGUAUAAAAUUUCUUAAUUAUUUUUUUUCUCUCAAUUCAGAUGUAAAUGAUACGCACAUACUUCAGUUCCAAAGUUUAGAGUUAGCCAAGGCAUUUGACUGAUCCAUUUGUUGUCUAAGCAUACGUCUAAACUAAAUUGCAUCAGCAAUAGUUUCUAUCAAUUUCGGGAAAUUUGGGAAUACUUGAUUGAUUAUAAACUAACAUUUAGCAUGGAAAGAAACUUAAAAAGUUGGCUGUCAUAUACCAUAAACAAAUCUUAAGGCCAGGGUAGUUAUUAUGGAACUUUCUGCUAUUGCAUCUUGCAAGGUUUGACAUAUUUGUCCUGCUACCAUAACUGGGAAAGAACAAUUUUUCUGAUGGUCCUUACGGAUAAAUUUUCUUUUUUCCAAAAUGGAAUUUUGAUCUAUGUUGUUAAAAACAAUACAGUUAAAUAGUUGCUGCCAUGACCUAAAGAAGUUUCUGUAAAAAAUGACCAUAUUGUCAUUAUUGAAAUGGAUAAGUAAAUCUUUAGAGCCUAUGAUGUAUUCGUCUGUGGAAUUUGAGUCAAAAUGAAAAAAUUUUGAUGGUUAUAAUCCUAGAAACUGUAAUCAUUUGGAAGCAUUUGCUGAAAACAGUUAGAUAAUCUAAAAAUGUGAUGAUUAUUUAUGUCAAUUGUAAAUGGUAUUAACAUUACUGGGAAAAAUGAUAAAUAUGUAAAUUUAUGCCAGUGGAAAGAGAAAAUGAACAAAUCCAGAUGGAUUCUAAGACAUUAAGUAGGAAAUCUAUUGUUCUUUUGAUUCUUUGCUGCAGUGAUCCCUAAUUACUUUCAAGUCAUUAUUAUCUCAUGACAAAAUAUUUGUUGAAGUGUGAAGUUUAAAGCUCAAACUUCUUAUUUACAUUGCCCUGCAGAUGCUAAAGUUGGAGGAUCAAGACUUCCUGGGAGAAGCUAGCUGUGUUCUCUCUGAGGUAAGUUUCUGGGUUAUAUUUUGUUUGAUGAAUUUAUGUAUUUUCUCUUUAUCCAAUGGGCAAAAUAUGCCCAUCUAAUUUUCUGUAAAAAUCUGUUUCCUAUCAAAAAAAGGGAAAAAUAUUCUCAGAUGAUUUUUACUAGCAUUCGUCUUCUUCUUUAGCAUUCUUCUUUUGCACUAACAAGUGUCAUAUUUUCCUUUUAAAUGGCAGAUAGUGACCAAACAAAAUCGAACUUUAACCUUAAAACUCCAUAACAAUUAUGGACUUCGAGUUUCAAGAAACUUUGGGACACUCUCUGUCCAUGCUGAGGAAACAGUUGCUUCCAAGAGUGCUGUUGAAAUAGCAUUCUGUUGCUCGCAUUUGCAAAAUGUAGACCUGUUUUCCAAAAGUGUAAGUUCUGACAAAGUAGCUAAGUUUGGAGGUUCACUAAUUAAUCUAUUAAUUUAGAUGCUAUUUCUUCUUCUUCUUAUAUUCUAUAGGAUCCAUUCUUAAGAAUAUCUAGAAUUGUUGAGAGUGGAAAUUCUGUUCCUAUCUACAAGACGGAGGUGAUAAACAAUAACUUGAAUCCCAUUUGGAGACCAAUAACUUUGAGCAUGCAACAAUUUGUGAGCAAGGUAACCUUGUCAUCUUCUUGUGUUUGUUACUUGAAUGUAUAAUAGGUAGUGAAGUUUGGUCAUGGGGAAAUGUUUUUUAGUUUAUGAUUCUCUUUGGUACAGGAAAACCCAUUAAUCAUUGAAUGUUUUGAUUUCAAUACCAGUGGAAAUCACGUACUGAUGGGGUAACUGUUAAAUUUCUUAAUGUCAUCAGCUUCCCUCUUUUAUCCUUUUGCCUUUCUGAUGUCAAGGUUUUCUAUUUCUGUUAUUAGUAAAAUUCAGAAAUCAGUUGGAGACCUGGAGAAACUUCAUCAAGAAAGAACUGGUGCAACUUUUAUAUUACCAUCAACUCAACGUGGCCAUGACAAGGUGUUUAUUCUUUUUUGUUUUAACUCCACCAAAGGUGUUUGUUCAUGCUUACGGUUUUUGAUAAUUUAAUAUCACUUUAUUUUUUAUCUGACUUUUUCCUAGGUUCUGAAAAGUCAGUUGUUUGUUGAAAAGUUUGUUGAGAAAGAGCAAUAUAGUUUUCUGGAUUACAUAUCUAGUGGCUUUGAGUUGAAUUUUAUGGUUGCAGUCGACUUUACAGGUAAUUAGAAAGAGAUUACUUGUUGAAGAUAAAUUUGCAAUAUAAUCUUUUUGUUUUGUUUAUUUCCUCUUAUUUGGUCCAAUUUCAUCUGGUCUCUCAUUAAAUGCAAAAUCAUCCAGCUUCAAAUGGAAAUCCUCGAAAUCCAAAUUCUUUGCACUAUAUUGAUCCUUCAGGCAGAUUGAAUUCUUACCAGCAGGUAAGGCUUUGUUAUGACUCACACUUUGACAAGUGAUCUCUGAACUCUGAAGGUCAUAAAAUGGUCUUUUUGUCCAGUGUUUUCGACUUAGAAAAUGCCUGUGAUUUUCAAGUCUUUCUAUGGCCAUCAUAGUGAAAUACAUAUUUCAAUAGUUUGUAGAAGUUGAGAGAGACUAUCACUGAUUAGUUCUUGGCCUCUUCAACCAUUUACAGGCAAUAACGGAAAUUGGGGAGGUCAUACAAUUUUAUGAUUCUGAUAGACGCUUUCCUGCAUGGGGAUUUGGAGGGAAGACAUUUGAUGGCACUGUAUCACAUUGUUUUAACUUGAAUGGAAGAGCAGGUGGCUUUGAGGUAGGGGUAGCUGGAAUUCGCAACGUUGCUAUAAUCCUCAUUUGGUUGGCUUGUCUCCCAUAACUUUUCAUUUUUAAUAACAAACAAUAUAAUAUGUUUCUACAUUUUUUUUAAAAUUUCCUUGGAAUUAUAUCCUAAAAGAUGUGUAUUUUGUCCUCUUCCAUUUUUUCAUUAACUGCGUUUCUUUAUUUAAUAGGUAGAUGGAGUUGAAGGCAUUAUGGCUGCUUAUGCAAGCGCUCUAAACAAUGUUGCUUUGGCAGGACCGACUCUGUUUGGUCAAGUGAUCAACACAGCUGCACGAAUUGCUGGACAGUCCCUCUCAUACGACAGAAGCAAGUAUUUUGUCUUACUCAUUAUAACGGUGAUUACAAUGAUUCUAUAUAUUCACAGUUUUCUCUUUGUAUCAUUCUUUUUGGGUGAUUUGUAAAUUUGCAUUAUCUAUUUAGGAUGGAGUUCUGACAGAUCUCCAAGAAACAAAAGAUGCUUUGGUAAGGGCUUCUGAUCUUCCCCUGUCAAUUCUAAUUGUGGGUGUUGGAGGUGCAGAUUUUACACAAAUGGAGGUACGCAAUGUUUUCCAACUGGAAUAUCUUCUUACUAGCAUUGAACUUCUUUUUUCUAUAGUUUGACAGAUUCAAUUUAGAGUACAUAUGCAGUGUGGUAUUAUCCCACUUUUGUUGCAGAUUCUUGAUGCUGAUAACUUUGUUGGCAGAUUCUUGAUGCUGAUAAUGGCCGUAGAUUAGAGAGCUCUACUGAUCGGGUAGCUACCAGAGAUAUAGUACAAUUUGUUCCAAUGCGAGAAGUUCAUAGUGAGUGCAUAUGAUUCUUUGACAAAAUUAGUUCAAAAUAUUGAAUUUGGGAGUUAAUUCACAAAAGUUUCUGAAUUUUUUCAUGCGUUAACAAACGAACACAUUGUUUUCUGAACAGGUGGGCAAAUUUCUGUUGUACAAGCACUUUUGGAGGAGCUGCCUGGUCAGUUUCUGACCUACAUGCGCUGCAGAGAUAUCAAACCACUCAAUGUUCAGAUGGCCCAAACAUGCGCUUGAGUAAAUAUUCAUAUGUUUGGAAAGGAUACAAAACCAAGCUAAACAUAUUAGACAAAACCAAGCCAAACAUAUUAGGCUAUACAGACAUAACAUAGCAAAAAUUGAUAAUGGUACAUUACAUAUGUUAGGAUAUAGUGGUUUUAGAUGAUGGUAAAUUACAUAUGUUAAGAUAUAGUGGUUUAUAACUAACUUUUGAUGGCUUAAUGAAUUGAUUGAAUUUGUAUUUAGGUUCUAUCAAUUAUCUCAUAUUCUUCCCAUCCAUGUCUUUCGAUUUUUAUUAUUCCCUCUACCCACUUGUUUCACAAUUGUUUGUGUCUGAUGGCCUAAAACUCCAAUUUCUAUUGCUGUAUUAUCAUCUUUGUUGAAUAUUUACUACAAUGAACAUGUGCUGAAUGUCUACUUUUACUACUACACCAGCAAUCUAACACAUGGCUCACGUGCACACAAGACAAGUCUGAUUCACACAUCUUUAAUUUAGAUUCUUAUAUAGUCUUUCAAGAUGUCUGAAACAGCAUAGAUGAAGGACCCUUCCACCAUUCAACCUGGAAUGAUGUGAGUGAAAGAAAUUUCCGAAAGUGUUGUAUUAUAACUCUUUGAAACUGGGUUUGAGUAAUCAAGAGAAGCCAAAAUGUAGAACAAUAACAACAAAAAAUGAAGGCCCUCUUACCGUCUUAACUUUGAUAGAAAAUUCACGAGCUGCAUACCAUGUCUCACAAAUUUCAAUGAAAAUUGGCCUCAUUCCUGAUGCUGCACAGAACGUUGGCCUGAAUCAUCUUUAUGAUUUUGGACUUCCUGUAAACAACGAACAAAACAAAUUGAAGGUGAAAGCAGGAGCAACAGUUUUCAAAUAAAAUGGGAGUGCUUAAUCUAAUUGAACACUAACUUUUGGGUCUCUCAGUAAUGGAUACGUACCUUUGUUUCAAGAUAUAUCUGUUGUAUGGUAGAAUUAAGGUCGCCCUUCCAAGUCCAAUACUCACCAGACAGCCAGCGUUUCUCUAAUUCGUGUAAACUGGGAGUGCUUAAUUCUUUUCCAGAGAAAAUCUUCAUAUUGGGGCAUUUAUCCACACUUAAAUAUGUCAAAGCUGGGAACUUGAAGGCGCAGUUGCCAGAGCAGAAGCUUGUAAGUCUUCUUAAAUCACAAAGCUCCAAGUACAUCAACUCGCUGAAAACAAUUUCAUCUUUAGCAGCAUCUCCCUCAUCAGUUGCCACUACUUCUGUUAUCAUGCUGCAGUCAACGAUACUCAUCUCUGUCAGUCGUACCAAACUCUUUGCUGUCGAGGAUGUUAGCACAUUUAUCAAUCCUUUGCAUCUCCACACCUUCAAAGUUGUCAGAUUCUGAAACGAUGUUGAAGGUGGCACUAGAUUAAUCAAAUGGUCACAGUACUCAACUGUUAGAUGAACCAAAUUGUCCAUUUUGGACUCCUGGAUCAAAAUAUGCUUCAGAUCACAACAAUUGUGUAGAUUCCUUAUGAUUGCCUUCGUCCAAUUUUCUACUCCAUAUGAUGGCUUAACGCCCCCAACAUAUCCUCCUCCCCUUAUUGUGAGUUCUCUUAUGCUGUGAAAUCUCCGAAGGAAAUCAAGUGAUGAAAUAGUAGAUGACUCUUCAAAUAUAACAUCAAGAAAGUUGAGUUUGCAAAACAUGUCCGCUGGAAACUCAGCUGCCAUUGGUAUCUUCUUUCCUUCAAUGGUCAAAUAUUUCAAAUUGGGGAAUACCUGGUUGGAUGCAUGAUAAAUCAGGACCAAAAAGAAAACGUAACGCCAAUUAUUAAGAGUAAAUUUUAAAUCUUGUACGUACCUCUUUUGUCAAGUCAUGAGCAGUUAAAAGGAAUUCAGGACACUUUAUUACUUCUAAAUUUUCCAAUGUUGGAAAUUCAAUGUGCACAUCUCCUGUGCAGAAGCUUGUGAGCCUUUCGAGAUCUACCAUCUUUAGAAAUUGUAACUGAGGGAACACAACAUUCUUCCUUUCUUGCUGGUCUAUGACUAUUAUCUCUUCCAAAAUAGGGCACUCAUCUAUCUCAAGGUGUUGGAGUCGAAUAAAGCUGUUAACUAUAGAAGAUGAAAACAGACAUCUUAAUUCCCCACAGCCAUACAAAAUCAACCGGGUUAAAGUUUGAAUGCCACAAGACAUGGCUGGAAGUUGGCUUUUCCAAAUCCUCUCCACAUUUACAUUAUACAGCUCCAAGGUCUGCAAGUUUGGUAACCCACCCUGUUCACAAAACUUUCCAGCCGUUAUAUGAGGGGAGCAAAGUUAGUAUAUAAGUGCAUUCAGAGUACUUUUUCUUUCAUCCGAGAAUGUAUUUGUUACACCUACGUUACUCGGGAUGAAAAUUUUAAUAUAAUUAUGAAAUAUGUUCGUUAAUCCCUGAUUCACUCUAGCCUAUAUUUCCUAGGAAAGGAGAAUAUAUAAUAAAGCAGCUAAAAAAAAAAAGGAAAAAAUCAUAAGAAUAUGACCAUUGGAUCAUUAAUAUCCGACCUUGAGGAAAAAUGUAUUAGGAACGUUGACAUGGUCCUCCAAAAUGAUUUCAUUCGAUCGCAUUUCACUUGUCGAUUCCUUGCAUCUCUGUUUAGAACAUAGUCAUACUCAUUAGAAAUGAAGAAUCUGUUUUUGCACUGGCUGCUUUGAUAUGUUCGAAAUUUAGGAAGAUCAUAUCAUACCUUUGACUCUUUCGGACUGGGGGCUUGACAACCUUCGACCCAGAGAUGCUUCAGUUGGGAAGAAUAAGAGCCCAAUUUGUUAUUAACUAAUUCAAUGAUAUCUUGGUCUGGCAAUCUAGAUAAACAAAGGUCUUCAAUUCGCUGAAGUUGCACGAUAUGUCCACUCUUGAAGCUGAUACAAUUGUCGGUGCCAAGGAGGAGUCUGAAUGUUCUAGAACACGUAGGUGAGGUAUCCUCCCAACACCAACGUCCAAUACAUAUUCUGUACCUUUCCAGCUUCUCGAAGAACAGCCCCUUCCGCAGAGUGUUGACAUCUGGGAUGCAUAAUUCUAAGGUGGUCAAGUUAGGCAAACGCUUCAACUCUUCAAGGCUUGCAUUCUUGACCCCUGCAGCUUCCACCUCCACCUCCCACUUAUUAAAGCUACGAAUGUAUAAUUCCUCCAAAUGGGAUAAAUUUGAUAAAACAUUUGGGGGAAUAACCUGUAGUCUGUCACAGUCUCUCAAAUCAAGCGACCUUAACCGAGUCAAUUGGCCUAUUUCCACAGGCAACUGCUCAAUAUAAGAACCCCUUAAGCAAAGGAUUUCUAGGUUCUUUAAUUCUCCUAUAACAGCUAUAUCUUGCAAUUCGCUGCAAUACAAACACAAUGUUCGAAGGUUUGUUAGGAGACCAAGUGAUGAAGGCAGUAAUGAUAGAUGCAUAUAAGUCAAGUCUAAAACUCUGACUUGCGUCAACUUCCUGAAAAAAUUGUCUGGAAGUGUGAUUAAUGAAGAUUUCUCAGUCCACAAAGAGAGAAGUUGCAGUUGAGGACAUUCCAAAACUUCAGGAAGAAGAGCAUUCAUCUUGCUGUCGUGUAAGACAAUCGAAGUGUAAAACUUAAGCGCACCUUCAUCUAGCCAUUCCCGUGAAUUAACCAGUUCAUAUCUCAUCGUAAGCACAUUUUGUUCUCUGGUUGCAAUUGCUAUGGCAACAUCACGAACAACAUCAUGCAUAGAAAACCAAUGUUCAUUUUUGCUUCCAUGCUCAAGCAACAUACAAGAAGCCUUGAGUUUGUACACCAAUGUAUACACUCGAGCUCGUGCUUCUUCCAUCCUAUUGAUGCCUUGAAACAAACCCAAACCCAUGCCAUACAUUAACACGUCAUUAAUGGAUGAUAUGUAGGUGUAGCCUAUUAGCAAAAAGAUCUUCUUGAGCUCCUCUCCUUCUAAUUUGUUGUAACUCAACUCUAUAGCUGAAUAAGCGGCCGGCUGUAUAUCUUUAAAGUUCGUUGAGGAAGGCCUUCUUAACUGUCCCAAAGCGUCCUUCCAUUCAAAUAAUCUCUUAUUUCUCAACGCCCUCGCUACUGUUACAAUGGAAACAGGCAAACCUGCACAUUCAUUUGCCACCUCCGUUGCCACCCCUUUGAAUUCACUACUUUCGAUGUACUCCCCUGCCAUCUUCUCAAAGAGACUCCAAGCUUCGUCUUCUCUUAGAACGCCAACUGAGAAAUUAUGUCAGCAAUCCAUCUUCCGUGACAGUAUAUCUUCACUUCUUGCUGUCAACAAUAUUUUACACCCCGUGUGGUUAUCUCCGUGAGGAAUUCCUACAUCCUGCAAAUCAACACUUUCCCAAACAUUAUCUAAAAUUACAAGGUGUUGAUGCUGAAAUCUGCUCGCCUUUUGACCGACCAGAUUCUUUCACCAACGUUUAUGUUAUCAACUGUUGCUUGAACCACUGGGGUUGGAAUCGCCCUCCUUUCUCUUUCUAGACCUGUGUUCACCAAAAACGGAUCAGAGACGCCGGUGGUUUUGUCGGCGUAAACCCUCCGAUGCCUAAGUUAGCACAAGGUAUUUACGGGAAAACAGUACAAUUUGGACUCAAGAAUGGUCGCUAAUUUAUCCGAAGUUUUGUAAGAAAAUGGCCUGAUUGCAAUUUGGCAGCGUUUUCCCUCUCUCAAUUUUUUCUCCCCUUUCUUCAUCGAUUUCUUUCUCUUUUAUAGCCGCCGUUUGUCCCACGUUUUCCGUUUACCCUUUAUCCCUCUUUUUUCGGGUGGUGGCAGCCCCUCAUGGGGCUCUAACUGUUAUAUUGUGGGCAAACGUGGGAUCUCGCGUGUCCUUCAACGGUUCUGGGAAAAGCGCAACUACCGCGAUUCUGUGGGAUCGUGUUCCCGCUUUCCUGGGGGAUGAGUAUCGGCUCGAUAUACGCUUCUGGUCGGUAUUCGUCUCUGGUUGGUUCAUGCUUGCCCCCGUGUUCUGCUCGUACUACUUGGCUGAGGUGAUCCAUGCCGGUGUGAAAAUAGUAGCAUGGCCGACCUGAUGCUUUUAUUUACUUAACACCAGUCCCCCAGUUUCUGGUCUUGUGAGUGAAAUGAGUCAAGAGUAGAAACUAAUAGUCAGAUCUUGCCAACCCGGGGAGCUUCACAUCUGAUCUUCUGUUUACUGGGAUGGACCUGAGGCACCAUUCUUCUUCUGGGGAGAUCCCGACCUGAGCAUGGGCUUGAAUGAGCGUGUCCAUUGCCUAUCUAGGCUUGCAUCUAGGUUGGCCUCUUGUAACGAUUAGCGACGUGGCCUUUCCAGACUCUUCACAUUUGAAAUUUGAAACGACGGGCUAUCUGUCCUCGAUAUUCGGUGAGUGAGCUGGCAUCCCCAUCACUUAAAUGCUUUCAUUUCCCUUGUCGUUUCAAAUCCCUAGACUUAAAUCAUCGUCGUUUUGUUCUAUUCGCUUCUCUGUUGUGAGACAAUGCCUACGAACUUCGUUCACACUCUCCGCGUCUGGGACUUCUGUUUGCGGGCUUUUUUCUCCAUCACAGCAACAUUAUCAGUGCCAGUCUAUUCCAUGUACAGCCUUUAACUUCUUCUUUGGUUGUUGUUGAUUGGGUUCUGUGUUGCCCCUUUUUGUAUUCGUAUACUUGGAUUUGUUUUGGUUUCCUUUUGGGGCUCCGAUAUGUCAAAUCGGAAAAGGAAAUUAAUUGCCGAUGAGAGUGACGAAGAAACGGGGGAUUCAGACCUUAACUUGUCGAUACCCACUGAUUUUUUACGUCCCUCUAGUAGUGUAGGGCCUUCCCAUGGUAGGGAUACCUUUGAGUACCCACGCCCCUUGGCUGUUUCUCCUUCCCCCGAACUAGAGCUUGUAGGGAAUAGAGGUGGACCUGCGUCGGGCUCUGGUGAGAACCACAGCUUUGGUGGGGUUGGGGUCCCUGAAGGAGUUGGUGAUGGUGAGGGGAGCAGUUCUAGACCGAGCGGACCUUCUAAGAAAAGGAAUCUUGGCUAUAGGGUGGAGGUGGAUUCGUACCCUAUUGAUUUCAUAGCUUGUGCCACCACCCCCACUAAUCUAUUUAAGCUUAAGAACCUCUACAACAUUCCCAAUGAGGUUCUCCUGGUAGUUCCUGGAAAAGGUGAUGUCCCUAGUCGGCCUCCGAAAGGGUAUGUGACGAUGCACCUGGAAAGUUUCAAAUUAGGAGCUCGGCUGCCCCUUCAAUGUUAUUUUGCCAAGAUACUGGGCGGUAUGCACCUGGCCCCAGGUCAGUUACACCCAAAUGGGUGGAGGGUUCUCUCGGCGAUGUUUGUGUUGUGGGAGAGGUGCGGGUUGGAGGAGCCUUCCCUUGUUGAAGUGAAGCACCUGUACCAGCUGCGGAGUAGCCCAAGGGAAGCGGGCUGGUACUACUUUAUGUCUAGUUCCGCAAAGAGGAAACUGAUCACUGGGUUUCCUUCUUCAUGUAAAAAUUGGAAGAAUAAAUUCUUCUUUGCUGGAGGAGAUUGGUGUCCAGCAGUUCGGUCGCUUGGUGGGGAUAUUUACCUUCCAACACAUUUUAUCACCCUAGGUCGUUCAUUUUUGCCUAUGUUCUUAGUCAAAUUGUCACUUAUUGGGUUCUUUAACCUUUUUUGCUAUUUCAGAGUCGUGGGGUUUGAUUGAGGGGCUUGAAGACCGACCUUUGCUUCAGGUGGAAACUGCUCUGGUGAACGCGUCUACCUGCCAAGACCUCCUGUCACUAACAAACCUAGUCGGUUCGGGUCUGGUGGACAUAGCUGCUGGAAUGGAUAACAAGAUCCUCAGCGUGAUGAGCAGAAAGCGUGGUCGGGCUCCAAGCAGCUCCAGCAACCCUCCCCCUCCUCCAAAGAAAACCAUCGUCGGUCCUUCUAAGGCUCCUGUUCAUGCUCUGCCCCCUCCUCCACCUCGUAAGAGUGGUGGGGAGAAAGCUUCCGAUAAGAGUCCUGAGGUCAGCAUUCAGUCUGGGGACCGAUCUUCUCCUCUUCCAUCCCGGGAUCAAGAUGACUACCUGAGCCUGUAUCAAAAGGAUUACAGAAAAUCGGUGGGGCCCAAGAUGGUGAAGGACAUCGAGAGUAUGAACCUCUCCGAGUUAGCGGCUUCUGUUCAAAGAGUCUCCUUCAGGCUGGCCACCAUGGUUUCAUGCUACAAGAACGGGUCCACACGCCAUGAGAGGAAGCUUCAAGCUUACAAUCAUGAGUUGAAGAAGAGAGCUGAAUCUGCUGAUCGCUCCAAGGAAAAGCUGGCUGAGCUGAACAAGCAGAUUACGAAGUUGGAGGAGAAAGUUGCUGUUGCUGAGUCCACCACCUCCAAACUUGAGGGUGAGUUGAGUGACCUGAAGGACUCCCACUUCUACCCACUUGGUGAAGUAGUCUAUUGCCACAAUUGCAUGUGUCGCCGCUCCUCGGCCCUUAGGUAACGGACCAACCAAGUCGAUUCCCCAUUGGGCGAAAGGCCACGGGGAUGCCAUAGUGGUCAGCUUUUCUGGGGGUUGUGCAGGAAUCUCAGAGAAGCUUUGACAGGUUUUACAGUUCCUUGCCAUCCUUUUCGCAUCCUGGUGCAUGGUCGGCUAGAAGUAUCCUUGCCGGAGUGCCUUGAAGGCUAAAGUUCUUGUUGCCGAGUGAUUACCGCAUAUUCCUUCAUGAAUUUCCCUUAGUACAUAAUCUGCAUCCUCCUCAUCCAAACAUCUCAAAAAGGGCAAGGUGAACCCUCAGCGGUACAGCACUCCAUCUAGUAGUGUGUAUCUCGCUGCUCGGCAUUUUAACUUUCUUUUUUGCAUUUUGUCCUCUGGUAACACUCCAUCGCGGACAUAUGCGCGAAUCGGAUCCAUUCAGGAUUCUUCAGUGCUUACUCUCAUCACUUCUACUUCCUCCUCUAUACUUGGCAAGGUCCUUAUCUCUAGUGGGACCGACUUAGGUAAUUUCGGAUCUGCGGUUGCAGCCAUUCUAGCCAACAUAUCAGCUCGGUAAUUUUCAUUCUGGGAUAUCUGCUUCACCUCUACUUCAUUGAAGAGUUCAACCAUUUGCUUCGCCUUCUUCAAAUAAAGCCCCAAUUUCUCUUCCCUUACUUGGAAUUGAUUGCUGAGCUGGUUACAUACUAGCUGGGAAUCUGCUCGGAUUUCUACUCUUUCUGCCCGUAGUGCAUGUGCAAGACCGAGCCCAGUAAUGAAGGCCUCAUAUUCAGCUUGGUUGUUCGUAAGCUUGAACUCGAACUUUACAGCAUAGGAUACCUUGACACCUUCUGGGCUUCGUAUUAUAACUCUUGCCCCGGAUCCAUGUUCACCACGUGAUCCAUCAACCGUUACCAGUCAUACCCCUUUUUUAUCCUCCUACUCUGCUGGUUGUUCCUCUUGGACCUCUUCCCCUGGUUCAACACAGUUAACCAUAAAAUCAGCCAGGGCUUGGGCCUUGAUUACUCCUCGGGGCCUGUAGGAUAGGUCGAAUUCGCUCAGUUUCACGGACCACUUCACUAACCGCCCUGAUGCAUCUGGUUUUUGGAGCAUGUGCCGAAGAGGCUGGUCAGUCAUCACCAUUAUCGGGUGGGCCUGAAAAUAUGGUCGCAGUUUCCGUGCUACUGUUAUUAAAGCCAGUGCCCAUUUUCUCCAUCAAUGGGUACCUAGUUUCUGCGUUUACUAAGGCUUUACUAGUGUAAUACACGGGGUGUUGCUUCCCUUCUUCUUCUCGGACUAACACUGAGCUGGUUGCCCAUUUUGAGAUUGCCAAGUACAAAAACAACUGGUCGCCUUCCCUCGGAGUUGAUAGUAACGGGGCAUGGGCCAGAUACUCCUUCAGCUGCCCAAACGCCUCCUCACAUUCUGAUGUCCACUCCAUCUUCCUCCCUUUCUUUAUGGUUUGGAAGAAAGGGUGGCAUUUAUCCGUGGCCCGCGAGAUGAAUCGGUUCAAUGCUGCCACUUUUCUUGUAAGGCUCUGCACCUCCUUAACUGUUCGGGGGGAUCUCAUUUCUGUUAUUGCCCGUAUUUUCUCCGGGUUGGCCUCGAUCCCUCGGUGGCUCACUAGGAAUCCCAAAUAUUUGCCCGAGCUGACCCCAAAUGCACAUUUCUCUGGGUUUAGCUUCAUUUCAUACUUCCUCAGUAAUUCAAAGGUUUCUUCCAAGUGUCUCACGUGAUCCCUCGGUUCUUUGGACUUUGUGAUCAUAUCGUCCACAUAUACCUCCAUAGUAUGACCGAUCAAGGGCUUGAAGAUAUUGUUCAUCAACCUUUGAUAGGUGGCUCUUGCAUUUUUCAGGCCAAAAGGCAUCACCUUGUAGCAAAACAAACCCAUGUUAGUUAUAAAGGUGGUGUUUUCCUCAUCCUGCUCGUCCAUGGGUAUUUGGUUGUAUCCUGAAAAUGCAUCCAUGAAGCUGAGCAGACUGUGACCCGCUGUUGAGUCCACCAAUUGAUCUAUCUUUGGUAGAGGAAAACUGUCCUUCGGGCAUGCCUUAUUAAGAUCUGUGAAAUCCACACACAUUCUCUAUUUCCCGUUGGCCUUCUUUACCAGUACUACAUUGGAAAUCCACUCCGGGUAUCUGGCCUCCCUUAUAAACCCUGCUUUCAACAGUUUCUCCACCUCGGCGUUUAUGGCCUCGUAUCUUUCCUGGUUAAAGCAUCUCCUCUUCUGUCUCACCGGCCUCGCCCCCUUCUUGAUUGCCAACUUGUGGCAAGCUACGAUCAAUUCUUGGUAUAUCCUCGUGAGACCAGGCGAAUAUAUCUGCAUGAGAUUGUAGGCAAUUUACCAGCUCGCCUUUUACUGCCCCAUCCCUGAUCCAAUCUUCACCACUCUGCUCGGGUUGCUUUUGCUUACCGCAACUUCUUCCAGUUUCUCAACAGGCUCUUGACGGCCCUUUUUAGGCUCUCAUCGAUUAUCUAGAGAAGUAACCUGCAGUGUCUCCUUGGCCGCUGUAGCAUAACAAUUCCUUGCCAUCCUCUGGUCGCCUUUUAUUACGCCAACCACUCCAUUUACUUUGUAUUUCAGUGCCAGAUAAUGCGUAGAUACAACGCAUUGGCUUAUCCUCAUGAAGGGUCUCUCCAGUAUCAUUUGGUAAGGGCUUCUUUCCUCUACCACGAUAAAAUCCAGCAUCAUCGUUCUUUCAAACGGCUUUGUCCCUACAGUAAUUGGGAGUUCAAUGAUCCCCAUGGGAGUUAGCCGUCCCCCUCCAAAUCCCUUUAAGGAUGUAUUUGUUCGUUCCAAUUUUAAGUCUACAAUUCCCAUAUCAUCUAGAGCCGACUUAAACAAGAUGUCAACCGAGCUGCCCGUGUCUACCAGUAUUCGUCGCAAUUCUGUACCAGCCACCAUUGCCUUAAUUACCAGUGCAUCCUCAUGAGGAUAUAAGAUACCAUCUUCAUCAUCAUCUGUCCACAUAAUGGGAACUUGCCGCAAUUUUGCCUUCUUGGCUGUUGGCAAAUUGAAAAACACUUCUUUGCUAGUCAUGACGUAUCUCCCAUAGUUCUUUCGUGCCCUGUUCGAAUCCCCAGCCAAGGUUGGCCCUCCUGCUAUCACACGGAUAGUCGGCUGUUCACAUUCCAGGCCUCUCUCACCUCCUUCAUUCUGCGUGUACUGUGAUUCAAUGACGGGAGAAAUCCCAUCUACAUAUUCAUCCAAAUAACGGUUUCUCACCAAAUCCUCCACCUGAAUCUUUAAGUCACGACAUUGGCUGAUGGUGUGACCGUGAGUGUCGUGGAAUUUGCAGAAUCUACUCUUAUCCCGUUGGUGAGCAGGUUUUGUUAUAGGGGCUGGAGGGUAUAACAGGCCUCGUCCCUCGAUUCUCUCAUACAACUCCUCCAUAGGGACUUUUAGCGGGGUGUAUUGUCUGUAUGCUGGGUUUUGGUCAAUCAGCUGGACUGCUCGGCUAUCAUGAGUAUCGUCCUGAGCGGAUAUCGAAGGUAGCUGACCUGAUCGUCCCGUUCUAGGGUUGGUUGUAUGUAGUGCUUUGGGAGCGUUGUGAUAAGGAUGGUUAGCCAACUGCCGGAAUUCUCGCUGCCGCUCCAGGAAUGGGGGGCACGGGGGCUGAGCCCGAUUGUGUUGGACCUGCUACGGUCUCUGAGCCAUAGGGUAAGGGCGAGAAUGAGCUGAUACUGCACCCAUCAUUGAGGACUCCCCGGCUCGCUUUCCCGACCCGCUUCCAUUUAGGGUUCUCAUUUCCUUUCGUCUCAGUUCCUCCAACUGUUCACUCUUUAUCCUUGCCGAUUUUUCUUCUUCAAUUUCAAUGUCUCUCUUUGCCUGCUCAUACCCCGCUGAAUAAUUCUGCACCAGGGGGCUUCUCAGGUUAUACCAUAGCCGGCUUAUCCUCACACCCUCCUUCAAUCCCCUCAACACUUGCGGGUGAUUGAAAGCUCCCAAAUCAAGCACGGCUCGGUGGUAUCGCUUUACAAAAUCUCGAAGGGGUUCUUGUUCCUCCUGCUUCAUCCUCAUUAAUUCCAUCAUAUCAUCCUCUGGGGCCACCGCUCCUAGGAACUGUUCGGCCAACUCUUGGCACGUCUGCUCGUACCCUCUGAUACUUCCUCGUAAUAGCUUGCGGUACCAUUCUCGGGCUCGUCCCUCUAGUGUCAAUGGGAACACCCUACACCUCUGAGCUGGUGUUAACCCCUGGACACCCGUCAUGUCGUUGAAGCGUUCAAUAUGCACCAGUGGAUCACUUCGCCCGGAGUAUUUGAGGUCGGGGAAGCCGAAAUUUCUUGGGAUUACAGUACCCAUAAUCUCAGUGGAUAGUGGAGAUUCUUCAUCUAGCAUUAUCCUCCAACUCGGGGGCUUCCUCUUACCCUGUAUCUCCUCUAUCAAUUGCGCUAAUCUGCGCACCUCUCCCUCCAAUUCUACAGCACGGUCAGGAUCACGCACAACUAUCUGAUCUCGCUUCUGCUCGGCAUUCUGCAGCCGCUGUCUGAGCUCUCCUUCAUCAACACUGGCCCCUCGGACAUCAGCUUCCAGUACCCGCCCGGGGGGAGGUUGGUUCCUCCCUUCAUCUACUUGUUCUCCAGGAACCCGACCAAUGCUUCUGUGGGGAUGCACCCCAUUAGGUUGGUCCGCCGGCGGAGGGAUUUCCUCGACUCUACGCCUCCGGAGGCUGGGUUCCGCUCCAACAUCAUCUCUCCCCACGGGGGUUUCACAAUUCCUUCGCCGCUGAUCUCUCAGCUCAUACAGUAUGGUCGCGAGAGUUUCCAUUUGUUUCUCCAUCCGUUCCAAUCGAUCUUGCAUCACCCUCUCCCGGGCUUCAUUUGCAAUUUCUCAAAGAGUGAUUGUCUCCCCAGAUUCGUUAUCCUCCCUCAAAGAGUCCUUCCUUGGCAUAUCCAUAUCUAAUCGUUCGUUGUUUCUUCGGUAACUACUAAUUCGGUGGUAGCUUUUUAUCCAGCUUCCCCACAGACGGCGCCAAAAUGUUGAUGCUGAAAUCUGCUCGCCUUUUGACCGACCAGAUUCUUUCACCAACGUUUAUGUUAUCAACUGUUGCUUGAACCACUGGGGUUGGAAUCGCCCUCCUUUCUCUUUCUAGACCUGCGUUCACCAAAAACGGAUCAGAGAUGCCGGUGGUUUUGUCGGCGUAAACCCUCCGAUGCCUCAGUUAGUACAAGGUAUUUACGGGAAAACAGUGCAAUUUGGACUCAAGAAUGGUCGCUAAUUUAUCCGAAGUUUUGUAAGAAAAUGGUCUGAUUGCAAUUUGGCAGCGUUUUCCCUCUCUCAAUUUUUUCUCCCCUUUCUUCAUCGAUUUCUUUCUCUUUUAUAGCCGCCGUUUGUCCCACGUUUUUCGUUUACCCUUUAUCCCUCUUUUUUCGGGUGGUGGCAGCCCCUCAUGGGGCUCUAACUGUUAUAUUGUGGGCAAACGUGAGAUCUCGCGUGUCCUUCAACGGUUCUGGGAAAAGCGCAACUACCGCGAUUCUGUGGGAUCGUGUUCCCGCUUUCCUGGGGGAUGAGUAUCGGCUCGGUAUACGCUUCUGGUCGGUAUUCGUCUCUGGUUGGUUCAUGCUUGCCCCCGUGUUCUGCUCGUACUACUUGGCUGAGGUGAUCCAUGCCGAUGUGGAAAUAGUAGCAUGGCCGACCUGGUGCUUUUAUUUACUUAACACAAUGAUCUUUUUCUCAUCCUUUCAAUCGAUUAUAAAGACUCCUUGCCCUUCCAGAUUCGGUCUCUUCGAAAAAUAUGAGACCUAAUUUAUCAGCGAUUUCUCCUUGAAUCUUUCUUAUGUCUGGAAUAUGGGGCACCUCCACGAAAAUCACUUGAUCAAAGAACUGGUCUCUCCCGAACUGAAUAGCAACCUCUUUUGCUAAUGUCGUCUUUCCGAUGCCGCCCAUUCCAUAAAUCCCAACCAUGUUCACAUCAGGAUCUUGUAAUGCACGAAGUACGUUAUUCAAAGUGGAGCUUCUUGAUUCAAAUGCCUCGUAGUCUUUGUUAGAUAUAAGCCUUAUGUCCUCCAGAGCUUUACGGUAGGAAAGUCUAUCAAAUCUCCCAGCUUCCCCAAGUUCGACAAUGGCUUUCUGUUGCCUUACCGCUUCCUUGCUAAACCGAUGGCGGGUCUUCAAAUUUGGACACAGCCCCAUGAAACAACGCUUGUUUGCUUUAUCUGCAUCGCCUGUAAAUUUCUCAGCCUCAGUAAUGAUGUUGUUGACACUUGCAAGCCAUUUCUCAACGUUCUUUUCGAUCUCUUCUCCUUUUCUUCUACCCUCAUCAACCCCGUGCUGCAUACUGGCACCGUCAUCCUUGAGCUUCUCAAGUUCAGUCUUGAGAUUCUCAAAGUUGCUCCUGUAGUUGCGCACAAAACUCAAUUGUCUUUCAGUGGGACGACCCAAGCACUUUGCAACUUCUAACACAACAGUUACUAUGCUUUCCACCAUCUUCAAUUCUUUCCCUUUUCUCUCUCUUUUUUUUUUUUUUGGGUCAAAUUUUAGAAUUUUGUAAAGUAUGUAGAUGUGAAGUGAAGCAAACCAAAAGGAAACUGAACAGAGAAAACAACUAAAAAGAUGUAGAGAUGAAGAAGAAGAGAAGGGAUUUAUUGACAGAGUAAAAAUACAUCAGAAGAGUAGAUACAGAACAAAACAGAGACAAGUGGACAGGGAACAGAGUAAAACUAAAUAAAGAAAACAGGUACACGUACGAUUCGUAGUAAUGUUGAGAUCCGAAGAUUGUAAUAACUAAAGGUGUUGCUUGAUCCAGUGAAAGGUCCAAAGAGUUGAUGGCAGAAAGGAGGAAAGCUGAAUAAUAAAAACACUCAAGAUGAUUGAGAUGAAGAACGACUUGCAUAGUUGGGAGAUGUGCGUCGGACAAAUGGUAGCCAAUUAUUUGAUUUCUACAGCGGGAUUCACUGACUGUAUAUUUUUAAAAAAUUAAGUCAGCAGAAUUAAUUCUUUUCAUUGAAAUGAACUCAAAGGCCAAAGAGUGGACAAAGAAUGUGAAAAAGUUAUGCGAAACGUGAGGUGAUGAGAUAGUUAAGUUCACUGAUGCUCAAUAAUCAAUUUUAUUAAAAAAAAAAAAUAGUGAGAAUCCCAAAGUCGAAAGCCAAUAGAUUUCAUAAUGGUUAUCCCACCAGCCACCACCUCAGCUUCCACGCAAGUUUCUCUCACAUUUGAACAGUUGGCCCACUCCUCAGGUCUUUGUCGUUUCAGUCAACAUAAUAUCACAGAAAGGGUGUUGUUAAAUUCUAUUAUAAUGUAAUUUAUAUUAAUUUAAAAGUUGUAAUUAAUAAUUUAAAAAGUAGUUUAGUUAUUCUAAUUUUAGGUCACUAAUGAUAAUUUAAUGAUUGAUAUAAGUUACAUCAUAAUAUAACUUAAAAGGUCCGAACAUGUAAUUAAUUAAGGCCAAAAGUUAGAAUAAAGAGACCCCAUCCGCCCAUGUGCUUCUAAUUAUAAAAUCUUCGCAUAAUUUGCAAGACCGAUGUUUUGAAAUAAAAUUUGAUUAAAAAUUGACAAAAAACAUAAGCAAUGGUGUCAUUUUAGGUGAUUUUUUUUUAAAUAAAACAAAAACGAUGUCAUUUUUUAGCUGAUUUUAGUCCUCCAAUCAUUUUAAAAAUUUUCAAGCAAGUUACAGGUAAUUCUUAUUCAAUGAUUCAAUGAACUUAUAAUAAAUCUCAGCCACAACGACGAUGAUCAAAUAAUUGAUUCAGCUUCGCACCUAAGCACAUAGUCGCAUAAAUCUCAGUAUAAACAUUAUAUACUUAAAAUUAUAUCAUUUUAGGUUUUUUUUUUAAUUUUAAAUAAAACCAAAACCACAUCAUUUUAAAUAUAUAUUUUAUCAAUUCUUAUGUCUCCAAUCAUUUUCUAAUUUUCAAACAAGCGAUUCUUAUUCAAUUUUUACAUUUUCUGUUCACAAAAGUGAAACAGAAAAUGAAAUUAAAAAAAAAAAGAAAAAAGAAAAAGUAAAUAUUUCGAUAUUAGUUUGAAGGAAAAGUCUAGUAUCGUUCUUCAAAUAUGUACAAGCUUAGAGCUUGUAAUUUGUAUGACCUUUUUUCGAAGAUGAGAAUAUUUCUACAUUACACGCUUUAGAAAAACUAGAUGAUAGGAAAAGAGUGUAGGAUAGAAAUUAAAGCUUAAUAAUAUUAUGAUCAAUUACUGAAAUAUUACCGUGGGCACUAGAUGAUAGGAAAAGAGCUCAUUUAUUACGUUAAUACAUUGUAUUAGUGAUAUAAGAACUUUUAAUCAAACUCAUGCCCCAAGGUGGGAACAGCCAAACGGGCAUUUCAUGGAACAGUUGAUAUACUCGGCAGCUACACUUACACGGAUGUUUCUGUCCUGGAGGUUGCAAGUGUUGCCUCCAUAAUCAAACUUGGAAGACCCUUCAAGGUUUCAAUAAUUAGCUUUGAUUAUUAAGUAAUAAUAUAUGAUAAUGUAGUGAUGAUGAUGAUGAUUUAUAUAUGUGAUUAAAAGCUAAGCUAGCAGAUUUGCAAGUAAGAACACACGGCAAAGUAUUUGAGCAAGUACUUUUAUCUUCUUAUUAUCGUCGCUUACUUCUAAUCAAUUAGCUUUCACCAUCAAAUCUAAUCAGUAAUGUAAAUGAAGGAACUUGGGCUCAAAUCUAUAAAUUAAUAUCGGUAAACUACAACCCUAUUUUCAUCAAAGUUUUCAACUCAAGAAAUAUAUAGAUUAGAGAUUAGUUGUUUAUAAAAUAUAAAGGAACCCUAAAAAAAAGAAAAGAAUUUUCCAGUACAAGAAUAAUAAUUUAUACUUAUUUAUUGAAUAUAUCUCAUUUUAAUCGCUUAAGGAUUUACAAAGUUUAUGCAAUAAUUUAUUCUUUUUAAAAAAAAAAAAUUCACUUCUUAAAAAAUCUUUAGAAAGGAACAAAGCUGAAGAAUAAAAGCAAUUAAGGUGAUUGGGAUGGAGAAAGACUUGCAUAGUUGGGAGACGUGCGUCGGACCAGCGGAAUUCACUGACUUUAUAUUUUAAAAAGUAAAGUCAGCAGAAUUAAAUUAACUGGGAACGUAGGUCAAUGAAUGCGAAGAGUGGACAAAGAAUGAGAAAAACUUUAUGCGAAAUGUUUUGAUUAUUUGACUAUCUACAGUUGCUUUUAAUUAAUGACGAUUGGUUUUGAUUAUUUCACUUUCUUCGUACAAUGAGAGUAUUUUGAGGUCAUUGAUCGAAUAAAGGAUUACCAUUCAUUAUCUAGGGUCCGGCUACGAUGUAACGGUGGCAUGGUAUCACUGUUGCAUUAUCUAAUUUUCUCCCAUGAUCUAAUUGCCUAAAUAAUAGAAACACUUGUAUUAAAUAAUUAUUUUACUUGCUAGUAUUGUUCUUAAAAUAUAUACAAACUUAGAGCUUGUAUGACUUUUUUCUAAGGUGAAAAUAUUUCUAACUCACAGGCUUUAGAAAAACUGAAGCCUUUCUUCUUCUUUUUCUUUUUUCUUCCCCCCCAGCCCCCCCUUUCUUCUUAAAUGACAAUUAUUAAAUAAUUGUGAACGAUUGGGUAUUUAAGUCUAAUUUCUUAAUGAUCUAGGUUAUGGGUGUAGUAUAUAAACUAGAAUUGAAUAAUUAUGAUCAAUUAAUGAAACUCAUGUCCCAAGUUAGGAAGAGCUACAUGGGCAUUUCAUCCAACAGUUGAUAUGCUCGGCAUCUGCACUUAAUCGAAGUUUCCUGGAAGUUGCAAGUGCUGCCGGCUUUUUCAAAAUUGGAAGAUCAUUCAAAGGUUUUCAAUAAUUAGCUUUGAUAUUACACAUGUGAUAAUCUUGUGAUGAUGAUGAUUUUAUGUGUCUGAUUAUAAGCUAAGCUAGUGGAUUCGUAAAUAAGCACACGGCAAAGUAUUUAAUCUUCUUAUUGUCGCAUUCUUCUAAUCAAUUAGCUUUCAACAACAAAAAUAAUUAAUAAUAACGUAAAUGGAGGAACUUGGGCUCAAAUCUCUGAACUAAAAUGAUGAUCAUUAAUACCAAUAAACUACAAUUUCACCUAGGCUCCAGGGAGGAUCCACAUGUUGUCCACAGUGAGCAAGUGACCCGUAAACUUUGAUUUUUCCAUAAUUUUCUAUAUAAAAUAUUGAUAUUUUCAUGAAAUUACAUAAUUUCUUAUAUAAUUGUCUCCAAAAAAUACCAAUAGGUGCACAAACACAAAUAUGAUGCACACAUCUCUUUAAUUAAUUUAGGGAUUAAAGAGAUUUUCAGAUGCCUACAAAUUGAAUAUGGCAGCUCUUGGACACCAUCCACAAGAAGUAAAACUAGCUUCAAAUUGGAUUUCUGAGUACUCAAACAAAGCUAAAAGCAUAAUAAUGAAUGAAAACUGAAACAAAAAAUCCUCUCACCAACAUCAUCUGACUUUUAAUAUAUAGUAAGAACUCGAUGCCUUAUUCAAGAUGCUGCACAGAAGGUUGACCUGAAUCGUCUUCAUAAGUUUGGAGACUCUGUAAACAAAGAGUAAAAACACAUUGAAGGUGCGGUUUUCACUUAAUCAAAUUGCACAAAUUAGCCUCUAUUAAGGACACGGAAAUCCUUCAAUUCUCUCUGUAAGCAAUUAAUUUUAUUUUUUAUUCUUUUAUUUUUUGCUAUGUCUGUCUAACAACUAAUCCUCAACAUACAACAAAGCAGAGUAGUUAUAUCUUAAAAAGAUGUACCGAUAUGAUUUAACAAAAAUUUCAACAUAAACAAAACAUUUUUAGUCAGCAAAAUAGAAUCAAAUCAAAACCUCCCAAAUUGUAUAGAUUUUAUCUUACCACUGUCUUUCACAUUUUUCUCCUUUUCAUUCGCCUCGGCGGACUUCUCAUUCUCUUUUUCCUUCUCUUCCUAAUCAGAUUUAAAAUGAAUUUAUAAAAAAUUUAAUAUAUACUUUUUUCUUUUUAGUUUUUUAUAUAUAUCUGUUAUUAAAUCAGUAAGUUUUAGAAAAAAAAAAAAUCAACAUCUCAUAGUGAAUGAAUACUUACCUUUUUCCUUUUAAGAUAUACGUAUUGAAUGGUUGUAUUAAGGUCCCGAUCCCAAGCCCAAAGUUUAUUAUCAAGCCAGCUCAGCUGCACUUUCUGUAACUUGGGUGUGCUUAAUUCCCCUUCUGAGAAAAUCUUCAUAUUGGGGCAACGAUCCACCACUAAUCUUUCUAGAGAUGGGAAUUUGAAGGCGCAAUUAUUCCCAGAGCAGCUGAAACUAGUCAGACUUUGUAAGUCCCAAAGCCGCAAUUCCUUUAAUUCGCUGAAAACAAUUUCAUAUUGUGCUGCAUAAUUAUCUCCCUCAUCAUCCUCAUCUGCCACUAUUUCUGUUAUCAUCUUGCAGCAACCUAUCUCCAUUUGUCUCAGUCGCACCAGAUUCCUUGCGGUUGAGGAUGUUAGAAGGUGUAUCAUUCCAUGGCAAAGACUUACCUUCAAAGUUGUUAGGUUCUGAAAGGAUGUCGAGGAUGGCACUAGAUUAGUCAAAUUGUCACACUCGAAUAUCUCCAGCUGUUCCAAAUUGUUGGUAUUGGUUGACUCUUGUUUGAAAAUCUGCUUCAGUUCACGACGCUGGUUUAUUCCCCUCAUCAUUGCAUUCAACCCAUUUUCAAGGUUUUCAAGUGAUUCUCCCCAAACAAAAUCGUCUCCUUCUAUAGAGAGAAUUUUGAUGGUGUGAAAUCUCUGGAGGAAAUCGUCAAGUGAUAAAAUAGUACUUGACUCAUCAAGCCGGACAUCAAGACAUUUAAGUUUGCAAAGCCAGUCUUCUGGAAACAGGCCUAUGUGCUUUUCAUCAACGAUCAAUUCUUCCAAAUUGGGGAACACCUGGGUGAUCAUCAAUCACAAAAGUGGCAAGAUGGAGUUAGCACUUCUUUCUAACGAUUUCACAAAUUCAAGUAAAUACAAAGCAUUCCAAUGAUGCGUAUUGAUGGCCGGACAAAUUUAUAGAUAUGCGGAGAGAGUUUGAUUUUCAGCUGUAAAUACAAAGUAAAAACAAAGCAUUCCAUUUAAGUAAUGUGUAUUUUCUUCCAUUCUCUCUUCUUAACUCUUGUCCAGUAGAUAGAUUUUCAAAUUUUAUUAGAUUUGUGCAUAAUCUCUAUGAAAAAGACUUCAAUUAUUCUCAAAUUGCAUUUAAACUUUGAGAUUCUUUUAAUUGAUCCGUUUAUUUGGUUUGAAUUGAAAAUCUUACAAAUUUAUUUUUAAAAAAAUUUGGAGUUUUUAACUUUUUCUUAAAGCAAAAAUGAAUAAAUAAUAUGAAUUUUAAAAGUUUAAUAAUAUAGUAAGAAGCUGGUAUUUCAUUAAUAUUCAUCCAACUCAAUGGAAUUGGAUAUAUUUACUAUUGUGCAAGAAUGGAUUUUAUUGUACAUAAAGUUUAAUAGAAUAAGAUUUCUUAAUUUGAGUUUUGUCCAUCUCUCUAUAUAUAUUUUAAAAAUAUUAUUUAUGUUAACACGAGAUGACCAAUUUCUUCUUCAACAUCAAAAUUGAUAAUCAUUUUGUAUGUAACAAAAUUGUACUAAGGAGUACUAAUUUGGAAAUAGCUCUUGAAAGAUUUUCAGGAAAUUAACUGUGGCUUGAAAGCCUCUAGAUCUUAUGAGUAUUUUCUUUGUUUGGCUAAUCAAAUGCACUGUCUCUUUCCGUGUAUUUAACUAAAGAUGUAGACAUAAAAUAAAAAGUAGAGGGAGAAGAAAAACUCUGAUAAUUAAGAGAAAAAAAAUUGAACAAGAAGGAAAAAAAUAAUUGUUUACCAUAUAUCUUUUUUUUUUUUCAUUCGGUCUAACUGACAUCCAAAAAAAAAAUAAUAAUUAUGUUUGUAAGGAUAUUAUAAAGUAUAAUUAAACAAACUGAUUUAUAGAACUAACAUUUUGUUACUAAAAGAUGAAGUGAUGAGGGCGAUGACGACAAUAAAACUCUGAACUCUCAAAGUAGAAAUACAUUUCAGUACGUAAGAAUUGAAAAAUAAUUAAACAAAUCUUGCACGUGUACCUUUUCAAAAUGCAGAUCACCUGUGCAGAAGCUUGUAAGCUGCGGAAGAGAAUGAAGCUCAAGUGUCCUCAAUUGAGUGAGUUCAAUCACUUCAGUACUGUUAUUAUUGCUGGAUUCAUCUCCUCUCUCAGCAGCAAAAAUCACUUCCAUUUUUUGGCAACUACUCACUUUAAUGGACUGAAGUUGUUGAAGGCCUCUGCCUAUGACCAUCGGCAAUACAUUUUUCAAUUUAUCACACCCUUCCACCCUUAUGGUCUUUAAUUUGCAAAAAGACUCUGCUGUGAGUGGACCACGACAUAUUUCCUCAAGGUUCCUUAAAUCUCUUAGAAAUAAUGACUCCAAAAGGGGGAAUGCAGUCGUCCGAGCUGGCAUACAAUCCAUUGUGUCAACAACACAAGAAAGGUUGCCAUUAUGUUCGAUUUGGAGACCCUUCAGUUUUGGAAAGCCUUCUCUGUCUGAUCCAAAAAGAACAUUCUUCAUGUCGAUCAAUCCAUCUAGAGACAGGCCUUCAAUACCCUUCAAUUGCAUGAUAUGCCCCUCGUUCAAGCAAAUGUUGGCACCAUUUGUGAGCCCCAGUUUGAAUAUUCUAGAAAUCCCAUCCGAUGGGGGAACCACAAUAAACUGCGACAACUGUCCUAUAGAUAUCCUGUACCUUUGCAGCAUUUUGAAGAACGACAAGUCUCUUGAUAGAGUCUUUUCAUCGCCGAUGAGUAUUUCUAAAGAGGUCAAUUUAGAUAAAUUAUUCAACUCAUCAAGGCUGGCAUUUCUUCUUUCACCGUCUACUCCUUCAACUUUCCCCCACUCAAUGGGACUCUCACCAAUAUAUAGUUCUUCUAAUCGUGAUAAGCUUGAUAUCACAUUUUGGGGAAUAACUCUCAGUCGGUAACAUAGGCGCAAAUUCAACAACCUCAAUUGAGUCAGCUGGCCUAUCUCUCCAGCCAGUUCCUCCAUAUCAGAACCUCGAAGCGCAAGGAUGACUAAUUUCUUUAGGUCUCCGAUAAUGGCCAUGUCUCCUAGUUCACAAUCAUCUAGAGACAAUGUUUGAAGGUUUUGCAAGCGACCAAGCGAUGAAGGCAAUGCCAACAAAUGCAUCUUAGUGAAAUCUAAAACUCUAAGCUCUGUCAUCCCAGUAAAAAAUUUAUCUGGGAUCCUCAAAGAAGCAUGACAGCCAAUACAAAGGAAUUUAAGUUGCGGGCAUUCGAACCCUUGAGGAGGCUCACUAAUAUUACUAUUCUUUAAGGAGAUUGCGGUGCAAACCUUCAGUGUAUCCUUAUCUGGCCAGCUGGUCAGCGGAACAACCUCAUUUUCCACCGCAAACACAUGUUGGUCUCUUGAUGCAAUUGAUCUGGCUACAUCACGAACAACAUCAUGCAUUGAAAACCAUUCACUUGAACGGCCAUCAAGCAACAAACAAGAGUUCUUGAGUUUAUCAACCAAUGUAUGUGCUCUAUCCCGUGCCUCUUCCAACGUGUUGAUGUUUUGAAACAGACCCAAACCCAUGCCAUAAUAGAGUAGGUCUUCAACACAAGAGAAGAACGUGUACCCUAUUAGCAAAAAUGUUUUCUUCAGUUCCUCUCCGUUUAAAUGAUUGUAACUUAGCUCUAUACUUUUGUACGCCACCUGCGUUGUUCCAGUGAAGUUUCUCAAGGAAGGCCUUCUAAAUUCCAGCAAAGCAUCCUUCCAUUCAGACAAUCUCUUAUUUCUCAAUGCCCUUGCUACGGGUACAAUGGCAAUCGGCAAACCACCACAUUCCUUGACUAUCUCUGUUGCUACAGAUUUCAGUUCACCAUUUUGUAUGCAAUCACCUGUCAUCUUUUUGAAAAGACUCCAAGCUUCUUUUUCGUUCAGAACAUCAACAAAAAAUUUUUGUUGACAAUCCAUCUUACAAGAUAACACAUCCUGACUUCUUGCUGUCAGCAGAACUUUACAUCCGCCGUUGUCAUCUGCCAAUGGAAUUCCAAUCGCCUCCAAAUCAAGACUCCCCCAAAUAUCAUCCAAGAUUAUAAGGAUCUUCGUCUCUUUCUUCAAUCGUUCAAGCAGCCUCCCUGCUCUUACAGUUUCAUGACUCUGUUCAGCCAAUUCUAAGCCUAUCUUCUCAGCGAUUUCUCCUUGUAUGUUCUUUAUUUGCCGUGUUUGGGAAACACGUGAAGAAAUGAACUUCUCAAAGAGAUUAUUUUCCUUGGCCUGUCUGCCAACUUCUUCCACCAGCGUGGUCUUUCCAAUGCCACCCAUCCCGUACACUCCAAUCGUGUUGAAGUUACGGUUGCUGAGUGCGUCUAGUAUCUCCUUCAAGGUGGACUUUCUCGAUUCAAAGUGCAUGAAAUCCCGGGUAGACUUAAGCCAUGUCUCCUCUGGAAUGGUACGGAAGGAAACACUGUCGAAUCUCCCUCUUUCAUGGAGUCCAACUAUAGCAUUCGCUUCUCUUUCUGCUUUCUUGCUAAGCUGGUACCGAGUCUUCAAAUUAGGACACAACCCUUUCAGACACCGGUUGUUUGACUUCUCUUUGUCUUCAAUAAGGGUUUCGACUUCAUUGAUGGCCUUGUCCACAGUAAUCAUCCACUUCUCAACGUGGUGUUGAAUUCCGUCCCCUUUAAUUCUGGAAUCAUCAACCUUAUAUUGCACACUGUCUCUAGCAUUCUUGAGCUUAUCGACUUCAUUAUUCACCUUCUCGAAGUUGGUCUUAUAAGUGCAGCAAUAAGUAAAUGGAUGAAUUAUGGGAGCAACCAAGUACUCUGUAACUUUUGCAGCAACGGAAAUAACAAUAUCCAUUAUCCCUUUCUUUUUUAUUUUUUGCUCUUAGAAAACAGGGGAAAGCAAAACUAAUCAAACUGAGCAGAACUAAUCAAUCAGUUGUGAAGAGGGAAAUAAGAAGUUUGGAUAAAUUGUUAAAAUAAAAGGUUGAAUAGAUUUAAGGGAGGAGGAGGGGAAAGGAGUGAAAAAUCUGGAGAUGAAACAAAGGGGGGUCCAUUUUCUGCUAAGACAAAUUGAAAAGCGAGUGCAAUGAAAGAUUUGCAAAGAAGGUGUAGGAUCGAGGACAAGAACGAUACAGAAACGGGAGACAGAAAAUGAAGAAGAGAUUUCAGAGAACUCUAGAGAUUAGACAAGAGGGAUGAUUAGGAAAAUGCAGAGGCAGGCAGUUGUGAUCUCAAGUCUCAAGGGUAAUCUGAAUACUGCAAAAAUGCCAAACUAAAUUCAUACUGGAGAAGACUCAUGCUUCCAAGUCAACUAGAUUCUUAAUAACUGAGAUAGAUGGUUAUAAUUGCAUGUAAAUAAUGUCAAAGUUGUUGGUUAAUUGGACAGCGCAAGGUGGCAUUUUGGCAUUUCAUUGAAUUCUCCUGUUACCAGUAAGUGCUAUGCUGCCGUUGCCGGACUUUAUGAUUUUUUAUUUUUUUAAGAAAUAGAUAUACAAAUAAGGACUCGCCUACCGUGCAACAGUAGCACCAUGCCACCGCUUUUGUCUUUUCUUGGUAAAAUUUCAUAAAGUCCUUUCACUUAUUCUUAUUUGAACUUUGCUUCACAAAUAUUAAGUUCAUUUCUCCCAAACCCGUGAAUCCUUCAAUGGCCGAUCAACGGCAAAUCGGCUCCUCUGGUGGCUGUGGUUGGUCAGAAAAGACAGAGGAAACUGUGGAGAACAAACCCCAAGUGGUGGCGUCACUGGAAACCGGAGAAACCGCCGCGAAUUGAAGCAGGGAUUCUGUAACUUUCACGGCUUCGAUCGGCAGCUUUCCGAAUGCUUUACGGCGACAAGGAUGGCAUGGAGAUGACUGGCGUAGCACGAGCUUCUGAUCGGUACCAACCUUGGCCGGUGGAGUAGCUGGAAACGAAAACAAAAUCUGGGUCGGGUUUGCGGGUCAGGUUGACCUAGUUAUUUUUUCGACAAGGAUGGCGUGGAGAUGACCGGCAUCACACGAUCUUCUGAUCGGUACCAACCUUGGCCGGUGGCAUGGACGAAAACAGAAACGAAAUUCAGGUCGGGUUCACCGGUAUUUGUGGUAAAGAGAGGGGUAUUGUGAUAAAUGUGCAAUAUAGAAGAAAAAUGUAUAAAUAACAAAUAGUAUAAGGUGCUAUUAUAAUGUUAUAUGGAUGCAAUAGAAAUUAAUUUAAUAUUUAUGAGGUAAAGGUUAAAUAAAAAUGAAUGAAAGGGGUUCAAUGAAAUUUUACAACACUACUGACACAAAAGAUAAAAUCAGUUGUACGGUACCACGGUGGUACCGUAGCUGGAUCCCACUCACUGACAUUCAUGAGAAAUUUAACGGUAGGAAAAAGAAGUUAAAAAAAAUGGACAUUCAUGGGAAACCGGCUUUGAUGGUUAAUGUGCAACCGGAUGUGAGCAAAAGGUCACGUGGUGAGGGCAUUGUCACAUGGUUGGAGAAAUUGACAGUCUUUUUUAUUUUUGUCAAUGAGGUUGGUGAAGGUAGGAAAAAAACAAGUUUGGGUUAUUCCAUUGUUUUGGGAAAAACAUUGAAAGCGGUGAAAAGAAAAUGUCAACUACACUGUAAUGUCAGUGAAAAUUGGUCGGAGUUGUACAAAGAUCAGUUAUGAAGAAUAUUAGGGAAAUGAAAAAUAAUAUACUUAAAAUUAUAUCAUUUAGGUUAAUUUUUUUAAAAUAAAACCAAAACCACAUCAUUUUAAAUAUAUUUCUUUAUCAAUUUUUUUUUGUCUCCAAUCAUUUUCUAACUUUCAAAUAAGUAAUUCUUAGGCUCUGUUUGGUACAUUUUUUCAAGUAGAGUUUAUUUAAGUAGAGCUUUUAUAAAUAGAGAUUUUACAAAAAAAAAUUAGUUAUUUGGUUGUCAAUAAGAGUUUUUAUUAAAAAUUUAUAAAAUUACUUUAAGAGGUAAAUUUUUUAAAGUUAUGUUAUGAAAAGAAUAAAAUAAAAUUGUCAAUAAGGAGAUGAUAUUUUAGAUAUUUUAACAUUUAAAAAAAAUUAACCUCUACUCCCAAAACCUAAAAUUUGAAUUUUUUCUAAUAGAGAUAAAAUAACUUAUUUAAGUUUUAAAAGCUCGAUUAUAAAAACAACCAAACAACAACAAAAAUUAUGAUAAGAGUUUAUAAGAUUAAAUAAGCACUUAUGACUCUUAAAUAAAGCAUAUCAAAAGUAAACAUUGUCUUGUUCAAAAGUGAACGAAAACGAAAUGAAAAAAACUAAGCUUAUUUAAGUUUUAAUAUCAAAAGUUAUUUGGUACUUAUUCAAAUUUUACAUUUUCUGUUCUCAAAAGUAAACGAAAAUGAAAUGAAAAAGAGAAUGAGUCUCGGCUCGGGUGGCUAAUGCUGACAGUGGCUAAUGCUGCCGACAUCUUCCAACUUGCAACAACGUUAAAAAUACGUAGCCUUAAUUAAUUGCCUAAAUAAUAAAAAUAAUUGUUCAAUAAUUCCCAUUCAUCAUCUAAUUGCCGAUAUAAUAAAAAUACUUAGCCUCAGCUGACUUGUUCCAAAUCAUUCAAUAAUUCUUUUAAUUAUUAAAUAAGUUUGUUCUUGCUAAAUGCUAAUGGAUACUGAGCUGAAUGUCAAAGACGAAUAACUACAUUAGGAAUAAAAAUAUUUCGAUAUUAGUUUGAAGGAAAAGUCUAGUAUUGUUCUUCAAAUAUGUACAAGCUUAGAGCUUGUAUGACCUUUUUUCGAACAUGAGAAUAUUUCUACCUUACACGCUUUAGAAAAACUAGGUGAUAGGAAAAGAGUGUAGGAUAUAAAUUAAAGCUUAAUAAUAUUAUGAUCAAUUACUGAAAUAUUACCAUGGGCACUAGAUGAUAGGAAAAGAGCUCAUUUAUACAUUAAUAUAUUAUAUCAGUGAUAUAAGAACUUUAAUCAAACACAUGCCCCAAGUUGGGAACAGCUAAACGGGCAUUUCAUCGAACAGUUGAUAUUUGUAAGUAAGCAAGCACACGGCAAAGCAUUUGAGCAAAUAUUUUUGUCUUCUUAUUGUCGCAUUCUUCUAAUCAAUUAGCUUUGACCAACAAAAAUAAUUAAUAAUGUAAAUGGAGGAACUUGGGUUCAAAUCUAUAAAUUAAUAUCGGUAAACUACAACCCUAUUUUGAUCAAAGUUUUCAACUCAACAAAUAUAGAUUAGAGAUUAUUUGUUAAUAAAAUAUAAAAGAGCCCAAACAAAAAAAGAUUUGACAGUAUACGAAUAAUAAUUUAUACUUAUUUAUUGAAUAUAUCUUAUUUUAAUCGCUUAAGGAAUUACAAAGUUGAUGAAAUUUUUUUUUUAUUUUUUAUUUUUCACUUCUUAAAAAUUGUUGGAUUAAGAGAAUCCUCAAUCUUCAUUUACGUUCAGUGGUGGAUCCACACGGAGCCUAUAGUGGGCAAUUAAUUGACUCCCGUAAAUUAUUUUUUUUCCAUAAUUUUCUAUUUAUUUUUUAUAUUUUCAUGAAAUUACAUAAAUACUUGCAUAAUUGCCCCUAAUAAAUACAAAGUCUAUCAAUUUCAUUAAUUUUUUUUUUUUAAUUAUUGUGUUGUCCCUUGUAAGCCAAAUUUUUAGAUCCGCCCUUUAAAUAGGUUGUUACAUUUAUUGUUCUCAAAAGUGAUGACUUCUCCUAGUAUGAAGCUCCUACCAUAAGAAAAAGGUCUCCAUAAAACAUUUCGAGCUUUAACUAUGAUCUUCGGUACUGAUCUAACUUUUUUUAGUCCCUCCCAAAAAAGAAGCCUACACACACACACACAUAUAUAUAUAUAUAUUGUAACACAUUAGGACAUGAACUUGAAGCUUCUCAAGUGUUUAUGCAAUCCGGUUAACAUAUACAAGUUAUGAUAGGUAAAAUUGCUAAUAAAUUUAGAAGCCUAAAAUAUGGAAUUUGAUUAAGACUUACUAAUUAUUGGAGCAUUUUUUUCAUCUAGUUUUUGGAGAUUGAAAGAACUUAAAAUUACAGGUGAUCAUAUCUUAAUUGGCAGACUCUUGAUGCUGAUAAAUGACAAAAGUCGUAGAUUAGAGAGUUCUACUGAUUGAGUAGCGACUUGAGACAUUGUACAAUUUGUUCCAAUGCGAAUGAUUCAUAGUGACUGCACAUAUGACACCUUUUUGUCGAAAUGACACAAUUUCUCUUCAUUGUGCUAGAGAAAGGUGGGUAGAUUUCUGUUGUACAAGCAUUAUUGGAAGAGAUAUCAAGCCACUCAAUGUUCAGAUGGUCCAAACAUGUGUUCAGGAGGCACUAACAUAGCAGAAAUUGAGAUAGUUUUAGUUUCAUCAUACACUAAAAAAAUAUAAACCAGAAAUCCUGAUGGAGCGAGGCGUAGAGGAAGCGAAAAUUAAUAGGAUAGGAAACACUAGUUAUCAUUUUAGUACAGGAUUAAGCCAACGCAAUUAGGUUAUAUUCUAAUCGAAGCGUGAUUAGAUAUCGUUUUAAUCCAAACGACUCAAUGAGAUUUUUAAUAACACGUAAUGUGAGAUUAGAUGACACUCUAAUCCAAACGACUCUACAAGAGAGAUUUUGAUAGAUAAUCCCAGAGGGAAUUAUAAAAUGGGAGUUUUAUUGAAUAAUUGAAUUUGAAGUGCUCAAAACAAUGACAAGAUCUCUCUAGUUAUAAUAGAGGAAACCCACUUUCCUAAAUUAACCUAAAAGGGAAACUGAAUCACAAUUAGAAUGGAAAUAAAAGACUAAGAUACAUACCAUAAUUGACUCAAACUAAAAUAGGAAAUCCUAAAACAAUAAAUAUUCUAGAAUCCUAAAUCACCUAAAAUAACGUAAAUUAACUUCCUACAUCAUUCUUCCCCUCUUAAAAGAAACUCGUCCUUGAGUUUGAAUGCAGUCUGGAGGAUGAAACUUAUAGUGUAGGAGCAAAUCAUCUUGUAAUUUGAACUUGUAGCCUUGCUCAUCAAUCUUCCUUGAAACUUUGAAGUAUCCUAACUUCAUCAACUUCCUUCGCUUGUACAUUCUUCGAGUCGAUGACGACUUUCAAGAACGAACAAUGAUCAAAUAACUCUUGCACUUCCCCAAUUGUCGCUCAAUGCGCUCGCCAAUAAGUUUCACCUUUUCAACCAAAUCUUCUUCAAGCACAAUCUUUUUUUCUUCAAUGUGAAUAGGCAGAACCAUUUCAAUCAUUUCAACUUCUUCACCUUGAUUUUGUUGUACAACCUCGAUCGUAUUGUUAAGUUCACUGCUUAAAUUAAGAGCAGGUUAUAUAUCUUCUUAAAAAUUAUCAAAUAGGUCAAUAAUAUCAUUAUCUUCAGCACUUAUCUUCUCUUCCAAGGAAACAUCACGCACAUUCUCGAACAACUUGUCAGAUUGAAACCUUAAAUCAAUAAUAAAUUGUACAUUUUCUUCUGGCAACUCAUGCGAGUCUUCUUCCUUAACAAUAAGAGAACUCAUUGGUACAUCUUUGGGCACUUUCAUGGUGACACGCCAUUUCUUGCUUAAAUUCUGGAUUUCGUCAAGUUUUUUAAUCACAUCAUCAAAGUUUCUUUGACGUUGCGACUUAAUUUGCGAUUCGAUUUUCUUGGCUAAAUGAAUUGCAUGUUGUAAAUUGUAGAUAGUGUAUAUAGGCAUCCUUUCUUGAAUAUGCAAAUCAAGCCCUUUAAUAAAUCUUGUAACUGUGUUCUCUUCAGGCUCAUAAUAAUAAUGACAUCCAUAAAAUCAUUCAAACUCAUAAGCACAAGCAGAAACAUAUCUCGUACCUUACUGUACCAAACAAUAAUCAAGAGGAAUAAACUCAGAUCGUAAAAUAUGCUUCAUACAGUUCCAUGAUUGAACUUUGCAUUUGCCUUGGUCAAGUCGAGACAUUUGCAACUCAUCGCACCAUUCUGAAGCACUUAUGCUUAAUCUACUGGCAGUAAACGAGACUUGCUUUUCUUUAGGAGUGUGCCAAAAUAGAAACUAGUGCUUAACCUUGUCCAACCAAUCAAGAAAUUUGUUUGGACGUGUAUUUUGUAAAUAAUAUCGGCACAUGAUAAAUAGGAGGGCAAUGAUGGUAGCUUGCCAUUUAAGUUUCCACACAAUGGCAAAAUUGUAAUUAAGGCUCAACUCUCGGGUUUGGUAUGGUCGGCAGCUGGUGGCGUGAUUGGGACCAGAGGGAUCGGAUCUGGGAGAUUUGGUGAUAAGGAACUCGAUGAUGGUCGUGGAUCGGCUAGAUUCGCUGCGGUUUUGGUCGGAAAAUCUGACUUAAAGUGGCGGCUGAUUUUGGUGAUGUGGCUUUUGGUUUAUGGCGGCCUUACGGUGGCGGACGUGCUGGAUUUAUGGUCGCCGAUUGCUAGGGAUUAUGGUGGUGGUAGUGCAAAUUGACAGAAAAAAGGAGGUGGUUUGGUGGCGGCGCAUGUGUGAAGCACUUGUGGGUUGUCGUUUCGUGUGGUGGCUGUGGGCGGCGAUCAAGGGCUGAAGUUGGUCGGUGUUUUGGUUAGUGGAGGCCUGCAAGCUCGUUGGUAGAGGUGGCUGGCUGUGAAAGUGGCUGAAUGGUGGUGGAUUGCUUGGUGGAGCCGCGGGUUUGGGUUGGUGAUUUGCGGCUGUUUAGGCGGCGGUUGAGGAGGCGAUGGCUGAGGCUUGGUCGGCAGUGGCUAGCGAGGUUUGUGGUGGUGUUGGCUGGCUGAUCGGUGGUGGAAGUUGAUGUGGUGGCUAGGGUUUUCAAAUUUGUAAAGUUUUGAUUUAUUUAUUUUGUUUUAUUUUAUUUAUUUUUUGUGAUAGAUUUGAUGUGGAUGGAUAUGGAUAGUCAGGAAAGUUGUGCAAUUGGCACAAAACUGCUCUGAUACCAACUAAUGGAGCGAGGCGUAGCGGAAGCAGAAAUUGAUAGGAUAUGAAAUACUAAAUACCAUUCUAGUACAGGACUAAGCCAACGCGAUUAAGUUAUGCUCUAAUUGAAGCAUAAUUAGAUAUCCUUCUAAUCCAGACAACUCAAUGAGCUUUUUAAUAACGUGUAAUGCGAGAUUAGAUGACUCUUUAAUCCAAACAAUUUUACAAGAGAGAUUUUGAUAUAUAAUCCCAGAAGGAAUUAUAAAAGGGGAGUUUUAUUGAAUAAUUGAAUUUGAAAUGCUCAAAACAAUGACAAGAUCUCUCUAUUUAUAAUAGAGGAAACCCAAUUCCCUAAGUUAACCUAAAAAAGAAACUAAAUCACAAUUAUAAUAGAAAUAAAAGACUAAGAUAUAUACCAGAAUUGACUCAAACUAAAAUAGAAAAUCCUAAAACAAUAAAUAUUCUAGAAUCCUAAAUUACCUAAAAUAACGUAAAUUAACUUCCUACAUUAUUCAAUACAUCAAUAACAAGUGCACAAACACAAAUAUGAUACACUCAUCUCUUUAAUUAAUUCAAGGCUUAAAUACUCUUUCGGUUGAAUCCAAAUUGAACAUGGUAGCUCUUGGACACCAUCCAUGAGAAAUAAAACUAACUUCAAAUUAGAUUUCUAAGUACUCAAACAAAGCUAGAAGCAUAAUAAAUUAGAUUUCUAAUUACUCAAACAAAGCAAGAAGCAUAAUAACGAAAUGAAGAAAGAAACAAAAGGUCCCCUCACCAACGCCAUCUGACUCUUAGUAUAUAGAAAGAACUCGAGGCCUUAUUCUAGAUGCUGCACAGAAGGUUGGCCCGAAUCGUCUUCAUAAGUUUGGACUCUCUGUAAACAAAGAGCAAAAACACAUUGAAGGUGUAGUUUUCACAUAAUUAAAUUGCACAAAUUAGCCUCCAUCAUAACCAGUUAAUGCUUAAGAACACAAAAAUCCUUCAAUUCUCUCUAUAAGCAAUUACUUUCAUUUUUUUUCAAUUUCUUGUUCGCUAUAUCAUAUCUAACAACUAAUCUUCAACAUAACAAUACAGCAGAGUAGUUAUGUUUUAAAAAGAUGUACCAAUGUGAUUUAACAUAAAUAAAACGUAUUUAAUCAGCACAAAAAUAAAAUCAAAACCUCCCAAUUUGUAUGGAUUUUACCUUGCCACUGUCUUUUGCAUCUUCCUUCUUUUCAUUAGCCUUGUUGGACGUCUCAUUCUUUUUUUUCCUUCUCUUCCUAAUUAGAUUUAAAAUGAAUUUGUCAAAAAUUUGAUGGGUACUUUUUCUUUUUCCUUUUUUAUAUAUAUCCGUUAUUGAAUCAAACUUUUACAAAAAAUCAACAUCUCGUAGUGAAUGAAUACAUACCUUUUUUUUAAGAUAUAGGUAUUGAAUGGUUGUAUUAAGGUCGCGAUCCAAAGUCCAACAUUCUUCAUCAUCCCACCGUUUAAGCUGCACUUGGUGUAACUUGGGUGUGCUUAAUUCUCCUCCUGAGAAAAUGUUCAUAUUGGGGCAAUUAUCCACCACUAAUCUUUCCAGAGAUGGGAAUUUGAAGGCGCAAUUAUUGCCAGAGCAGAAUCCUGUCAGGCUUUCUAAGUUCCAGAGCAGCAAUUCCUUCAAUUCGCUGAAAACAAUUUCAUUUUUUGCUGCAUAAUUAUCCCCCUCAUCACCGUCAUCUGCCACUAUUUCUAUUAUCAUCUUGCAUCUACCUAUGCCCAUUUCCCUCAGUCGCACCAGACUCUUUGCAAUUGAGGAUGUUAGUACAUCUAUCAAUCCUAUGCAAUUAUAUACCAUCAAAGUAGUUAGAUUUUGAAACGAUGUCGAGGAUGGCACUAGAUUAAUCAAAUUGUGACAGUCACAUAUGUCCAGGUUUUCCAAAUUGUUGGCAUUGGAGGACUCUUGUUUCAAAAUUUGCUUCAGACCACGAUGCCGGUUUAUUCCUCUUAUCAUUGCCUUCAUCCCGUUUUCAACCUUUCCAAAUAGUCUAAAAAUAUACUCGUCUCCUCCUAUAAUGAGAAUUUUGGUUGUGUGAAAUCUCUGGAGGAAAUCGUCGAGUGAUAAAAUAGCUGUUGACUCAUCAAUCCAGACAUCAAGAAGUUUAAGUUUGCAAAGCAAGUCUUCUGGAAAUAGACCUAUGUACUUUUCAUCAAUACUCAAAUCUUCCAAAUUGGGGAACAUCUGGGUGAUCAACAAUCACAAAAAAAAAAAAAAAAAAAGCAAGAGGGAGUUAAAUCUUCUUUCUAACGAUUUCAAAAAUUAAAGUAAAUACAAAGCAUUUCAAUGAUGAAUAUUGAUGGCCGGACAAAUUUAUGGAUAUGUAGAGAGAGUAUGAUUUUCAGCGGUAAUUAUUUUCUUUUUUUUUUUUCAAAUAUAGUAAGUGAUGUGUAUUUUUUUUUGUCAUCCUCUCUUCUUAACUUUCAAAUUUUAUUAGAUUUGUGCAUAAUGUCUACAAAAAAGACUUCAAUUAUUCUCAAAUUGCAUUUGAACUUCUGGAUUCUUUUAAUCGAUCCGCUUAUUUGGUUUCAGUUGAAAAUCUUACAAAUUUCUUUUUUUUUUUAAAUUGGUUUUUUUAACUUUUUUCUUUUCAAGAGCAAAAAUGAAUAAAUAACUUGAUUUUAAAAAGUUUAAUAAUAUGGUAAGAAGCUGGUAUUUCAUUAAUAUUCAUCCAACUCAAUGGAAUUGGAUAUAUUUACUAUUGUACAAGAAUGGAUUUUCUUGUACAUAAAGUUUAAUAAGAUAAGAUUUCUUCAUUUGAGUUUUGUCCAUCUCUCUCUUUAUAUUUUUAAAAAUAUUAUUUUUGUUAACACAAAAUGACCAAUUUCUUCUUCAACAUCAAAAUUGACAAUCAUUUUGUAUGUAACAAUACUGUAGUAAGGACUACUAAUUUUAAAUAGCUCUUAAAAGAUUAUCAGGGAAUUAACUGUGGCUUGAAAAACCGUAGAUAUUUUGAGUAUUUUCUUCGUUUGGCUAAUCAAAUGCAGAGUCUCUUUCGUGUAUUUAACUAAACAUAUAGACAUAAAAUAAAAAGUAGACGAAGAAGAAAAAAUCUGAUAAUUAAGAGAAAAAAAUUGAACGAGAAGGAAAAAAAAAUACUAAAUAAUUUUGUAUUCAUUCUUUCUAACUGACAUCCAAAUCCAUCUAUGGUUGUAGCCGAUUCAAUAUUCGAUAAUGAGAAGAAUUAUUGAAGAAUGAUAAUUAUGUUUAUAUCGAAUAUUGAUAAUUAUGUUUAUAAGGAUAUUAUAUUAGUAUAAAUAAGCUGAUUUAUAGAACUAACAUUUUGUUACUAAAAGACAAAUUGACGAGGGCAAUAUAUGACGACAAUAAAGCUCUAAACUCUCAAGUAGAAAUACUUUUAAGUACGUAAGAAUUGAACAAUAAUUACAAAAGUCUUGCACGUACCUUUUUGGUGGACUCAUGAAUAGUGCUUUUAAAUUUCACAUGGGGACAUCCCCUUAUUAUUAAUUGUUUCAAGGAUGGAAAUUCAAAAUGCAGAUCUCCUGUGCAGAAGCUUGUAAGCUGCGGAAGAGAACCAAGUUCAAGUGUCCUUAAUUGAGUGAGUUCAAUCACUUGAGUGUUAUUAUUGCUGGAUUCAUCUCCUCUAUCGGCAGCAAAAAUCACUUCCAUAUUCUGGCAUUUUGUCACUUCAAUGGACUGAAGUUGUUGAAGGCCUCUGCCAAUGAGCAAUGGAAACACAUUUUUCAAUUUAUCACACCUUUGCACCCUUAUGUUCUUUAAUUUGCAAAAGGACUCUGCUGUGAGUGAACCACGACAUAUUUUCUCUAGGUUACCCAAAUCUUCCAGAAAUAAUGACUCCAAGAGGGGGAACGCUGUCAGCGCUGUUGCACAAUCCACUGUGUCAACAACACAAAAAAGGCUGCGAUUAUCUCGGACUUCGAGAUGCUUCAGCUGUGGAAAACCUUCUCUGCCAGGUUCGCAAAGAACAUUCUUCAUGUCCAGCAAUCCAUGUAAAGAUAGGUCUUCAAUACCCUUCAAUUGCAUGAUAUGCCCCUCGUUCAGGCAAAUGUUGGCACCAUUGGUGAUCUUCAGUUUGAAUUUUCUAGAAAACCCAUCCAAUAUUGGGUCAUCCGACCACAGAUAUCCAAUGAAUAUCCUGUACCUUUUCAGGAUUUUGAAGAACAACAAGUCGCUUGGUAUAGUCUUUUCAUCUUGGAUGAGUAUUUCUAAAGAGGUCAAUUUAGAUAAAUGAUUCAACUCAUGAAGGCUGGCAUUUCUUCUUUCACUAUCGAGCCCUUCAACCGUCCCCCACUGAAUGGGACUCUCACCAAUAUACAGUUCUUCUAAUCGAGAUAAGCUUGAUAUAACAUUUGGUGGAAUAACUUUUAGUUCGAAACACUUGCUCAAAUCCAACAACCUCAAUUGAGUCAGCUGGCCCAUUUCUCCAACCAGUUUCUCCACAUCAGAACCUCGAAGUGAAAGGAUUUCUAAUUUCUUUAGGUCUCCGAUAAUAGCGAUGUCUCCUAGGUUGCAGUAAUUCAGACACAGUGUUUGAAGGUUUUGUAAGAGACCAAGCGAUGAAGGCAAUGGCAAUAAAUGCAUCUCAGUGAAAUCUAAAACUUUAAGCCCAGUCAUCCCAGUAAAAAAAUUAUCUGGGAUUCUCAAAGAUGGAUCAUUGCCAAUACGAAAAUAUUUAAGUUGCGGGCAUUCGAAACCUUGAGGAAGCUCACUAAUAUUACUAUAAAUUAAGGAGAUUGCGGUGCAAACCUUUAGUUUUUCCUUAUCUGGCCAGAUGAUCUGCGGAGCAACCUCACUUUCCACCACAAACACAUGUUGGUCUCCAGAUGCAAUUGAUAUGGCUGCAUCACGAACAACAUCAUGCAUAGAAAACCGUUCACUUGUAUUACCGUCAACCAACAAACAAGAUUUUUUGAGUUUAUCAACCAAUGUAUGUGCUCUAUCCCACGCCUCUUCCGACGUGUUGAUGUUUUGAAACAGACCCAAACCCAUGCCAUGAUAAAGCACGUCUUUAACGCAAGAGAUGAACGCGUACCCUAUAAGCAAAAACGUUCUCUUGAGCUCCUCCCUGUUUAAAUGAUUGUAACUCAGCUCUAUACUUUUAUAUGCCACCUCCAGUGUUCCACUGAUGUUUCUGAAGGAAGGCCUUCUUAAUUCCAGCAAGGAAUCCUUCCAUUCAAACAAUCUCUUAUUUAUUAGUGCCCUGGCUACGGGUACAAUGGCAAUGGGCAAACCAGCACAUUCCUUGACUAUCUCUGUUGCUACAGAUUUCAGUUCACCAUUUUCUAUACAAUCACCUGUCAUCUUCCGGAAAAGACUCCAAGCUUCUUUUUCAUUCAGAACAUCAACAAAAAAAUUUUGUUGACAAUCCAUCUUACAGGACAACACAUCUUGACUUCUUGCUGUCAGAAGAACUUUGCAUCCGCUGUUAUCAUCUGCUAAUGGAAUUCCAAUCGCCUCCAAAUCAAGACCCCCCCAAAUAUCAUCCAAGAUUAUAAGGAUCUUUUUCUCUUUCUUCAAUCUUUCAAGCAGCCUCCCUGCUCUUACAGUUUCAUGACUCUGUUCAGCCAAUUCUAAGCCUAUCUUCUCUGAGAUUUCUCCUUGUAUAUUUUUUAUUUGCGGUGUUGGCGAAACACGUGAAGAAAUGACCUUCUCAAAGAGAUUAUUUUCCUUUGCCUGUCUGCCAACUUCUUUCACCAGCGUUGUCUUUCCAAUGCCACCCAUCCCGUACACGCCAAUCAUGUUGAAGUCACGGUUGCUGAGUGCGUCUAGUAUCUCCUUAAAAGUGGAUUUUCUCGAUUCAAAGUGCAUGAAAUCCUGGGUAGACUUAAGCCAUGUCUCCUCUGGAAUGGUACGGAAAGAAACACUGUCGAAUCUCCCUUUUUCAUGGAGUCCAACAAUAGUAUUCGCCUCUCUUUCUGCUUUCUUGCUAAGCUGGUACCGAGCCCUCAAAUUAGGACAUAGCCCCUUCAAACACCGGUUGUUUGAAUUCUCUUUGUCUUCAAUAAUUGUUUCGACUUCAUUGAUCUCCUUGUUCGCAGCAAACAGCCACUCCUCAACGUGCUGUUGAAUUCCGUCCCCUUUAAUUCUGGAAUCAUCAACCUUACACUGCAUACUGUCUCUAGCAUUCUUUAGCUUAUCGACUUCAUUAUUCAGCUUCUCGAAGUUGGUCUUGUAAGUGCAGCAGUAAGUAAAUGGAUGAAUUAUGGGAGCAACCAAGUACUCUGCAAAUUUUGCAGCAACGGAGAUAACAAUUUCCAUUAUCCCUUUCUUUUUUUUUAUUUUUUGCUUUCAGAAAACAGGGGAAAGCAAAACUAAUCAAACUAAGCAGAACUAAUCAAUCAGCUGGGAAGAGGGAAAUAAGAAGUUUCGAUAAAUUGCUAAAAUAAGAAGUUGAAUAGAUUUAAGGGAGGAGGAGAGGAAAAGAGUGAAAAAUCUAGAGAUGAAACAAAGGGGGAUCCUUUUUCUGCUAAGACAAAUUGAAAAGCGAGUACAAUAAAUGAAAGAUUUGCAAAGAAGGUGUAGGAUGAGGACAAGGAUGAUUCAGAAAAGGGAGACUGAAAAUGAAGAAGAGAUUUCAGAGAACUCUAGAGAUUAGAGAAGAAGGAUGAUUAGGAAAAUGCGGAGGCAGACAGUUGUGAUCUCAAGUCUCAAGGGUAAUCUGAACUUUAUGAUUUUUUAUUUUUUCAAGAAAUAGAUAUACAAAUAAAAUGAAAAAAAAAAAAAAAACUGUUGUGUGGUCGUGUGGGUUCCUCGAAAUCACUUCGGCAUUUAAUCGAACGAUUGGAUGUACUCAGCAUCUACACUUCCACGAAGGUUCCUGGAAGUUGCGAGUGCUGCCGGCAUUUUCAAACUCGGAAGGUUUCAAUAAUUCUUUUACUUUGAAAGAAAGGUUUCAAUAAUUAGCUUUGAUAAUUGUGUAAUAUACGAUAAUCUAGUGAUGAUGAUGACUUAUAUAUGUGAUUAAAAGCUAAGCUGGUGGAUUUGUAAGUAAGAACACACGGCAAAGUAUUUGAGCAAGCAUUUUUAUCUUCUUAUUGACACAUUCUUCUAAUCAAUUUGCUUUCACCAACAAAAAUAAUUAAUAAUUUGUAAAUAGUUGGAUCUUAAGCUCAAAUUUUGACAAUACAUGAAUGAUAAUGUAUACUUAUUUUUCAAGGGUAAACUCUAUUUAAGAGAGGAUCUCAAUUUUCUAUUAGUUUCUUCAAAUGGGCAUUUUAUCCAACAGUUGAUGUACUCGGAAACUUACACGAAGGUUCCAGGGAGUUGCAAGUGCCGCCGGCAUUUUUCAAAUAAUCAAGUGAUUAUUGAGUAAUAAUUAACUUUGAUUAUUGAGUAAUAAAUAUAUGAUAAUCAAGUGAUUUUAAUAUGUAAACAGUAGGAUUUUGGGCUCAAAUCUUUAAAUUAAAUCGUGAUCAUUUUAUCAUUAAACUCGAACUCUAUCUUGAUUAAUGAACAAAUGUUAGAAAUUAGUUGUUAAUAAAAUAUACCCUGGAUGUAAUGGCUAUUCCUAAAGCUCAAUUGAACCAAGAACACAAUCUUGAAGGGCCCAAGAACAGAUCCCAAACAAGAAGUGACACAAAGCUUAACAAGAAUCCAUGAUCAAACAAUGAACAAAACAAAGAAUCAGUAAAGAAGAAAACUUAGAGCAAGAGUGUUUAAUGAUUUGAUUAAAUUUGUGUUUAUUUCUGUGGAUGAUUUCAUUCCUAUUCUUGCCAUUCAUUUUUAUGAUUUUUUUUUUUUUGGGGUUGACUCCCGGAACAAUCAACCUGGGGAUGGGUGGGUUUUAUUUAUUUGUCAUGAUUUGAUUAAGCAGAGCAACUAAUACUUCAAAUCGUAUCACUGUUGUAUUAGAGGCUUCACGUAUAUAAACCAAAGUUUAACAGAUCUACAUAUAACUGAAUGAAAAGCUUAUGUAUUAUAUUCACUCCAUCAAGUAUGAAGCAUAUAAUCAAUUGAUCUACAAGCACUAGACAUACAAAAAUCAAAUGGUAGAAUAGAAUAUACAAGCAUCAGCAUUAGAUGACAGGAAAAGAGCUCAUUAAUAAAUUAUAUGAGUGAUAAUACUACUUGAAUCAAACUCACGUCCCCAGUUGAGAAGAGUUAAAUUAAAUAAUACUUUGGUGAUUUCAUGUGCGUAAAAUUAUAAAUUUAUAACCAGACUUUGUAAAGUUAAUGUGAAAAUGCAUCACAGUUGUACUUAUUAUCUUUUUUCUUUUUUCCUUUUCCAAUUAGUCUAAUACCAGUGGCGUGGCCUCGUGGGUCCUCAAAUUAUUCAAAUGGGCAUUUCAUCGAACAGUGGAUAUACUCGGCAUGUGCACUUGGAAGACGCGUUCAAAAGCUCUAAAUCAUGUUAAAGUCGACCAAAAAGACAAAACAUAGAAAGCGACAAUCCAACAACUAGGUAAAAAUAUUCGCUGUCACAAAUGGUUGCGUUAACGUGUAUAUUUGGGACAUCAAAUAUAAACAAAGACCAUGUGAAAAAGAAAAGCAAAAAGCUAGAAAUAAGAAAAAGGGAGCACAGUGAAAGAUCUGCAAAGAAGGUUUAGGACAACGAUUAUUAUGAAAACGGGACCAGAAGACGUAUAAGGGAUUUCAGAGAAUUUUGAGAGAAGUGGGAUGAUUAAGAAAAUGCAGGAGCAGGACAUUCAUGACCUCUAUUAGUAAUUUGAUUUCGUGAAUCAUUUUCAAAAAGAAAAUAACGCACACAAUUGGAGACUAGGCGAUGACAAUGAAAGAUCACAAUCCUGAAUCAUGUUAAAGCCAAUAAAAAGACAAAACAUGGAAAGCGGCAAUUGCUAUAUUGCGUUGCGUGUAUUUUCGGAUCAUCAAAUACAAACAACGACCACGUUAAAAGAAAAGCAAAAGCUGACGAGAUUGGUAAAGAUAUAUCAAAAGAAAGACUAAUAGAGCUUUCCCAGCAGCAUUAAUCAUGAUUAUUUGAUAAAAUAGAGGGAAUAAAUAAUUAUAUUUUUGGUGGAAAACAGAACAGAGUACGUUACAAGAGGUGAUUGCUUUCUUAAUUUUUUGUCAAUAUUAAACCAAAAAUACAAGUCAAUGAAAAAAAUUGAAAAUAACGCACCAUCAAGUCAGCCUUGGUGCAGAAAAAUAUUAACAUUUAAUGAACAUAGAGGGAUGAGUUGGGCCAAGUCUUUAAAUCAGAUCUGUCGUGGAAUAUAACAGGAAGAUUAAAAGAAAAAUCAAUCAACUAGUAUAUAAUAUAAUGUUUUUACAUUUAACUAAUUAGGAGACUGAUACACUAGCAAUCAGCAUUAAUCAAUUAUUUGAUAAACCAGUAAAUAUUGGAUAUCUCGGUGCAAAACAGAGUGUUGAGAGAUAAAAAUUAACCUGGUGUCUUUGGCAGGUGCUUAAUAUAAUUGCUAAGCUUGCCACAUGCCAUUGCCAACUUUGGCCAUCUGCUAGCUGCUAUAUAUGAAGCAACUCAAGUAAACAUAAAGCAGCCGUCGUGAGAUGAAGCACAACAAGGCUUGUGAUGUGAUCACUGAUCAUGCAUCCGGGACACUUUUAUACUUAUUUAAUUCCAAUAAUCAUAAUAAACUAUUGAAUUAUAGACCAGGUUUUCGUUUUUAUGAAUACAAGGCACAAACACGAGCAUAUUUUAAUCCUAUUUCUGCUAAUUGAAGAAAAUCAAGAAAUGCUGAUUCCGUCAUGCUUAGUUUCAUGUUAGUUAACAUACUGGACAGACCUUCCGAGGUUAUUCUUCGAAGCGUUUCAUGAUGCCACGUGUACUUGAUUAUUUGACUAAUCACGGUUCACAAGUUGAGUGAGCUAUUCACCAGUCACCAAACCACCUUCCUGCUGCAAAGAAUGUUAACUGAACUUUGACUUGGUCAGAAACUCAGAAUUAGUGGUGCACGUGAUGCUUACACGUGAGGACCCAAAUGACGAAUUCCAAAAGCUGAAUGAUGUAUGUGUGAAUUAAAUAUAACUAUUACGCUCUAGCACAUAUAUGUCACAUGUAUACUAAGUGGGUGUAGUGCGACGAAGGUGCUCUAUAAUUUUUCAGUGAACACAAUAUAAUCAUCAAAGUGAAAGAAAAACUUUUGAGGUUUUGGUGUAUUCAUUAGUGAAAUUUGAGCCGAAAAGAAAAAUUCAUAUUUGUAAACAUCAAAACCAAAAUCAUUUGGAUGUAGUUGCUGAAAUUGAUUAGGUCAUUUUUAACCUUAAAUUUAAGAUCAUUAAUCAUUGCAUGAAUGUUUUGAUUUUAAUACCAGUGGCAAUCACGUACAUGUUUAAUGAUUUGAUUAAAUUUGUGUUUAGUUCUAUAAAUGAUUUAACUAAAAAAUUCAAAAAAGUUUAAAUCACAAUUUUUAUUAUUAACAAUUUAACUAAAAAAUUAUUAUUAAUUAUUGUUAAUAGAUUAAUUAAUUACAAUACUUUUUAUUAAUCUUAUUAAUAGUAAUUACAAUAAACUAGUAAUUAUAAUUAAAAUUACUUUAGUAACAGGUUUAUUAAACCUAGACUCAUCUACCUUGCAACGGCUGCAAGGUACAACUCUUUUUUUUUUUUCAUUCCUUUACCUUUGGAUUUAAUGAAAAGUUAAUUUCAAUGGUAGAGAUUUGUCCAUUUGAAUACUAACAUUAUACUCUUGAUAAGUAUUAAAAAAAUAAAAAAAUGAAAGAGUUAAAAUUUUUAGCACAUAAGUCUUUAUUGUUUCUAAUUUAUAUUGUUUAAUUAGUAGUAAGUCUUAAAAAAAUAUUUUAAUUUUAAUAUUAUAUAAAAAUAAUAAAUUUUUAAUGUUAUUUAUUUUAUUAAAAAUAAAUAUUAUUUAAUAUUAUUUAUUUUCAUUUUAUUUAGCAUAUGCUUAUUAUUAUAUUUAUUCCUCAAAAAAUUAAAUAAUAUUAAAUAAAAUAAAAUAAUCAAUAGUGAAUCAUAAAAAAUAGAUAUCAUUUUUAAUUAAUAUUAUUUAUUUUAUUUUAUUUAACGUUUUAUAGUCAUAAACUUAUCAUUAUAUUUAUUCUUUCAUAAAACUAAAUAAUGUUAAAUAAAAUAAAAUAAUAGUAAUGAGUCUUAAAAAUUAAUAUUAUUUUUAAUAUUAUUAACUUGAUUUUAUUUAAUAUUAUUUAUCCAUAGGCUUAUAAUUUUAUUUAUUCUUUUAAAAAAUUAAAUAAUAUUAAAUAAAAAAUAAUCAAUAGUGAACCUUAAAAAAUAAAUAUUAUUUUUAAUAUUAUUAAUUUUAUUUAAAAAAUAAAUAUUAUUUUUAAUAUUAUUAAUUUUAUUUAAAAAAUAAAUAUUAUUUAUUUUAUUUUAUUUUAUAUUAUUUAUUCAUAGGCUUAUUAAUAUAUUUAUUUUUUAAAAAGUUAAAUAAUAUUAAAUAAAAUAAAAAAACAAUAUUGAGUCCUAAAAAAUAAAUAUUAUUUAGUCAUAGACUUAUUAUUAUAUUUAUUCUUUUUAAAAAGAUAAAUAAUAUUAAAUAAAAUAAAAUUACAUUUUAAAAAGUCACCAGCAAAAGCAUAUAAACUUAUAAAUAAAUGUAAAAAAAAUAAAAUAAAAUAAAAUUACAUUUUCAAAGGUCACCAGCUAAAGUAUAUAAACUUAUAAAAAAAGGAUAAAUAAGAAGGAUAGUAAGGGGUUAAAUAAAAUUUAACAUACAUAACAUAAGACAAAAAAUGAUGGCACCUUGCAACUGUUGCAAGGUAGCUGGAUCCUAUUAAACCUAUAUGUUAUAAAACAAAUGAAAUAGGAUUAUGCAUGCAGUUAAAUAGGUGUAUUUUAGAAAAUCUAAUUCUUUUAAGGAGCUCUACAACCUAUUCUCCUAGAAGUCCAAAAUUUAAACUUCUCCUAAUAAAGACAAAAUAAUAUUUUUAAUAAACUCUAUUCAAUUUAUAGCCAAACGAUGCCAAAAAAUAUUCAAAAGCAAAAUUACUCUCUUGAUCUAUUAGUAGAGAAAUCAUACAAAAUGGACACUUAAUGGUCAAUUAUUUUCCCCCCCCCCUUUUUUUGUAGUUUUACUUUUCCUAUAAACAUUAUUGUUUAGGAAAUAAUAAUAACACUACAUACUCUCCACUAACACAUUAAUUAAUUAAGAGUAUUUCCUCACUAGCGCGCAUUUAAUUAUCAAAAGUACGGCUAAACUUUGGUAAUUAAGAAAACAAGUGAUAUUGGUGGCAAACUGGCAAUGACAAGAAAAUUUUAAUACCACAAAAAAAAAAAUUAUCAGUUACGUAACAACUGAAUAAUUAAUUAUAAAAGUGUUGUACGUACCUUAUCUGUCAAGUCAUUGGCCGUACUUUUAUAGUUCAACACCAAUUUAGGACAUCUCACUAUUUGUAAUUCUUUUAAAAAUGGAAAUUCAAAGUGCAGAUCUCCUGUACAGCAGAAGCUUGUGAGAUUUCCAAGAUCUGUUAUCUUUAGAUAUAGUAGCUGAGGGAACAUUACAAUAAUAUUAAGGGAGCUGCUACCUUACAUUAAACGUAAGGUACAGCCUUCUCACUAAUGGUGGAUUUUAAUGGAGCCCACAGAUAAAUUAUGUGAGUGGUUGUACCAUACGUUUUACGUAAGGUAGCAAAAUCCUAAUAUUAAUCUUGCUUUCUUCUUGGUCAUCCACGACUAUUAUCUCUUCCAAAACAUUGUUCACUCCCUCAACCUUCCACUGAAUGGGACUCUCACCAAUACACAGUUCUUCUAAGCGGGGUAAGCUUGAUAUGACAUUUGGUGGAAUAAAUUAUAGUUUGAAACAAUUGCUCAGGUCCAAACCCUUCAACUGGGUCAGCUGGCCUAUUUCUUCAACCAGAGUCUCCAUAUGAGAACCUUGAAGCGUAAGAAUUUCUAAUUUCUUCAGGUCUCCGAUAAUAGCUAUGUCACCUAGUUUGCAAUCAUCUAGAGACAGUGUUUGAAGGUUGUGUAAGAGACCAAGUGAAGAAGGCAAUGGCUUCAAAUGCAUCGUAGUGAAAUUUAAAACUCUAAGCUCUGUCAUCUCAGUAAAAAUGUCAUGUGGGAUUCUCAACGAAGGAUCACUGCCAAUAGAAAAGUAUUCACGGUGUGGACAUUCCAACUCUUGAGGAAGCUCACUAAUAUUACUAUUAUUUAAGGAGAUUGCAGUGCAAACCUUUAGUUUAUCCUUAUCUGGCCAUUUGAUCUGUGGGACAACAUCAUUAUCCACUACGAAUACAUGUUGGUCUCUUGAUGCAAUUGAUAUGGCUACAUCACGAACAACAUCAUGCAUAGCAAACCAUUCACUUGUAACUCCAUCAAGCAACAAGCAAGGGUUUUUGAGCUUAUCAACCAAUGUAAGCGCUCUAUCUCGUGCUUCUUCCAACGUGUUGAUGUUUUGAAACAGAGCCAAACCCAUGCCAUAACAGAGCAAGUCUUCAACACAACAGAUGAACGAGUACCCUAUUAGCAAUAAUGUUUCUUUAAGUUCCCUACCUUCUAAAUGAUUGUAACUCAACUCUACAGUUGAAUAGGCCACCGCUUGUGUCCCAGAGAAGCUUCUCAAAAAAGGCCUUUGUAAUUGUCGUAAAGCAUUCCUCCAUUCAUAGAGACUCUUAUUUUUCAACGCCUUUGCUACGGGUACAAUGGCAAUGGGCAAACCAGCACAUUCCUUGACUAUAUCUGUCGCUACAGAUUUUAGUUCACUAUUUUCUAUGCAAUCACCUGCCAUCUUCUUAAAAAGACUCCAAGCUUCUUUCUUAUUCAAAAUAUCGACAAAAGAAUUAUGUUGACAAUCCAUCUUACAAGACAACACAUCUUGACUUCUUGCUGUCAGCAGAACUUUACAUCUGCUGUUAUCAUCUGCUAAUGGAAUUCCAACAGCCUCCAAGUCAAGAAUAUUCUCCAUCGUCUUUAUUGUCCCUUUUUUAUAUUUUAUUUUUUCUUGUGUCGAAAGAAUCCUUCACUUAUUGGAAUAUCCAUGAUGACUGGGUGCAAUUGGAAGAGUCCAUGAAAUUCUUCUUUCAUUCGAGCUUAAAAUACUUUCUCCGAACAAUUAGAAUACAUUAAUAUUUUAUGAACUUGCUUAGUAGAUCAUUCAACUACUUAAUUGGUGUUGUUAAUUAAUUGGUUAUCUUCCCGGAAACACAUUAAAGACUCUCACAGGGAUUCAUUAAACCUUUUUGCUGGGUCAAUUCUACAAGCAUCAGACGUAAAAGCUUCAUGAUAAGAGCACAAGCCUAUCGUCUUCAAAAGCUCCCUCAAAAAGCUAGCUAUUUUCUUUAUUGUCAUUUCCAUCCAUUUUAACCCUCUCUUUUUUAUUUUGUACAACUUUGACUUGACUCUCAAAUAGAGAACAAUGAUAUUUAGACAGAAAAAUUUAAUAGAAUGUUUAAAAAUAAAAUAAAAUUAGUGUCGGUUUAUCUUGUACUAGUUUUACCUUAUUGAUGUCAAUGAUUUUCUAAGAGAAAAAUAAAACUUACAUUAAUUUUACCUUUGUUUCAUGAUGAGGUAAAAUAUGAUUUUUUUUUACUUUUAAAAGAUUUCUUUAAAUGAUUUUCAAGUUGAUUUAUUUGAUUGGACUGUCAAAUGGGUUUGGGCUUAGGCCACCCCUAAUUUUUUUUUUUUUCCAGUUUACCAUAAAAAAGAUUGGGUGUGUUGCAAGUGAGAUAUGGAUAAAAGGACAUAACUAUUUCUUCGUUGGAAAUUCGAAUAAAGAGAUAGAAAAAUUGGUAAACGAGUAGGAAAUAAUUUACGGGAAGGAUGAGUGGAUAAGAUUAGUGCUGGAGCCGUCGUGGAUUCAUUGCUAUGCAGAAUUAAAAAUUCAAGCUUAAACAGUUUUGGUGAAAUUUUUAUAUUGAAAUUCUUGUUAAUUAAUCAUUCACACUUUAAUGAAAGUAUUAAUAGCAGCCGUGUAACUCCCUAUUAAUUAAUUUAUAUUAAUAGCAGCCGUGUAACUCCCUAUUAAUUAAUUUAUAUUAAUAGCUACCGGUAACUCCCUAUUAAUUAAUUUAUCACGUGUUAUAUAUAUAAAGUAAUAUUUUAACAAUUAAUAGCGUAACAGGAUUUUUUUUUUUAUGUUGCUCUUUUACUCAAUUAAUUAAUUAACAUUUAUAAAUGAUCACUAAGUAUUCAUGAGUAUGUGACACAUGAGCUUAAACAUGAAUCAAUAUUUGCUAGUGCAUUGGUGGUUAGCACAAAUAACCACGAUGAUAGAGAGUGACAGGGAAGCAUUAAGGGGACGGAUCCUUUAAUGACCUGAUUUUUAAGCAAAUUUCACUUAUAUGUUUAUUGGUUAACCAAUUAAGAAAUAAAAAAAGUUAAAUUCUAAUAAUACAUUAAUAUUAAAAGGCAAGUGAUAUAAGUUCUUUAAACGUUCAGAAGAGAUCAAAUCAAAAGAGAAUUUUAAUUUGAAAAUAACUCUUGUAAAACUUAAGUUUUAUGUGCUCAUGAAAGUAGUUGUAAUUGAAGGCAUCUAUUGAAUAUUCAAUGGUUUAACUAAUUAUAUUCUUUAUAGACAGUUUGUAAAUUAAUCUCGUCACUACCACCAUGACUUGUAAUUUACUUGUUAGAAAAAGAAUCGAUUAUAAAUACUAAUUUGACUUUAUUGUGCUCUAGAGCAAAAUACAAAGUGGAUAUUUAGUGAUUAUUAGUUUAACUUACAAUGCUAGAUAUAUUUUAAGUAUACAUAUUAAGACAUAUAUACACACACAUACAUACACAGAUUUGCGUGCAUGCGCGCGCCAAGAGACAAACAAAUAUACGAUGAAUAGAGAUAUCCGGACCUAAAGACUUCAAAUUAAUGGUGAAACAUCUUUGCAAAUUAAACUAAGAAAAAUUGAAAAAGUAUUUUUAUCAUUUUAUGUAUGGAAUUCCACGUCCAUGCAUGCAUCUACCCAACAAAUGCCCUUGUAAUUCCAUGCAUGCAUCUACCCAACAAAUGCACUCGUAAUUAAGUAUGCAUAUGGUACAUCACAAAAUAUUGUCUUGGAAAAGUCUCAAUGGAUGACACAUGAUCAUGUCAUUGUACUUACACGCACAAUGAAUAAUCCUUGCGACGACUUGCACAAAAAAAUGGCUGUUUGUCCCUGUAGUUUAAGUACCUAUGGAGGAGUCAAUAUAUUUUUAGAAAUUUACUCAAAAAAAUCUACAUUAUAUUUUUUUUGGUUAAAAUCUAAUUAAUUAUUUUUUAUCUUUCAUCUGCUAUAUAUUAAAUUAGUUUGAAUUUUAAACUUUAUCAUAUAAAAUUUAGCUUUGAAAAUUUAUGUCCAACAACAAAGAAAGUAAGUAAAGAGACGUUCUCCAUAAUCUUUUAAAAUAUAAUAUUGACCAAACUGGAUAAUUGACUCGAAUUAUGGGGAUUAAAUUAGUAUUUACCUAUUUAACAAAUUUUAAAAUUAUUUUCUAAAAAAAUGUAAAUUAAUUUCUUUCUUUAUUAAUAAAAUUACGACAUAUCUAAGUAAUAUUCAUAUUGUGCUGAGAACAACUUCUUAGUAUAGCGAUGGUCUUACAUGUGGAGGGUUGAAAUCUUUUAUGCAUGCACAUGGAGUUAAUAGUAAUUAAAAGGGGGUGUGUAUACCACACACCUUCGAUUUGAAGACAAAAAGUGAUUGUCAUCUAUUUGCCCACGUACACACCAAAAAGUGAAUCAAAUCCUCGAACGACUCAAUGACGGGACAAGGAUUGGUUCUCCACUUUUGUACGGCUUUGAAUCACUUCUCUAUUCUAUUCACCCCGCAUCACAAACGUGGUGACGACGUAAUUACGAAAACAACUAUAAUCCAGCUGAAAACAAAUUCGUAGGCAUUUUCCCUUCAUUUAGACCAAAUCUAAAGUUCUGAAUGAAAUGAAAGAGAAAGCCAACUUGAAUUACAUUUUUUCCGGCAUUUUUUGGUCGAACGAACCAUUUCACUUGGGAUCAUAAUGAGUCGUUGCAAAGAAAAUGUUAUUUUGAUUAUUACUUUGUUUAAUAUUCUUGUUUGCGGUAUUUUGAUUUGAGAGAGAUAUGAGUCUCAAAGGAAUGUCGGAUUCUGUGCUCACAUGAUGAGCUAUAUAAUAUAUGUUGGUUUUACUUAAGGUUGUUGUAAUUAGUGGUUUAAAAAAAAAAUAACUAGCACAACUCUAAUAAAUAAUGGAUAAAAAUUCCUAAUUAAUUUGAAUUCAUCUCUCAUUUGUCAUUUGUCAUCUCUUUUAUAUAAAGUAUGACUAUAUAUGAGAGAUAUUUUAUUGUAUAUAGCUAUUUCUUUUUUUUGUUAUUUCUAUCGACUUCAUGAGCACUGUCUUAGACUUUUCCCUUUCUGUAACAAUCUUGGUUUAACUAUGAACUAAAUAUUUUUCUUUUCAAUCAUUAAUUAAUAUUAGGUGGGUGGAUCUACUAACACGGUUGCACCUAAUUACCCACUAUAAAAUUUUAUUCUCAAUCCCCAUGGAAAAGUGUGCAUGCCUAUAUAUAAUCGGACUUCAUUAUCAGUGUUAUGGAUAGAGGAAUUAUUAAUUUUAAAUUAAUAAUUAUUUUAAUCAAUUUGGCAAUGUAUAUCUUAUCCUUAAUUAAUUUAUAUGAAUGAAUAUCAAGUGUAACGUAAAAUAUUAUUUGUGUUGCACAUGUGGACAAAUUAAAGAAUACAAAGAUUCCUUAAACAAGAUUCAAAGUAUAUUAGAAUUCGUAAUGGGGUGUUUGGAAACAAAGAAAAAAACAGAGAAAAUGAAAAAGGAAACUUCUCGAUUUUAUUAAUCAGAAUAUUCAAUACUUAUUAAGCUUACUUAGCUAAGCUUAUAUACAAUUAUUCUAACUAAUUAAACAACUUCAAACCAACUAACAACUUCAGAUUUAGUUUAGCCAUUGAGCUCUUGCCACAUGUCAUUCAGUUACAUUCAAUCUUGACACAUCAGUCAGCUCUGUCCAGCUCAGCAACUAUAUCUUCAACAUCCCCCCUCAAGCUCAACCGAGGAAGUAAGGUUGAGCUUGUCACGUAAGUAGAGAAAAGGAUGAUAAGAAAGAGCUUUGGUGAGAAUAUCAGCAGUUUGUUCUGAGCUAGAAAUAUACUGAACCUUAAGACAUUGAGCAGCAACUUUCUCUCGAACAAAAUGAACAUCUAAUUCAAUGUGUUUUGUUCUGGAAUGAAACUUAGGAUUAGAGGCUAAAGCAGCUGCACUUUGAUUGUCACACCAUAUGAUUGGAAUGGAGGAAAGAGCAAGGCCAAUCUCAGCAAGAAGAGAGCGAAUCCAUAAGACUUCAGCUGCUGCCAUAGCUAGUGCUCUAUAUUCAGACUCAGCACUAGAUCUAGAGACCACUACCUGUUUCUUAGAGCACCAAGACACUAGAUUUGGACCCAUAUAGACACAAUAACCAGCCACUGACCUCCUAUCAUCUCUGUCUCCAGCCCAAUCAGCAUCACUGAAACAAUCAAUCUGUAUGCUACCAUGAUUGUAGAACUGUAAACCAAGAUCAACAGUGCCCUUCAGAUAACGUAAAACCCUUUUACAAGCCUGCCAAUGAUUGACAGUUGGAGAAGAUAGAAACUGACUAAGCUUGUUGACAGAGAAAGCAAUCUCUGGUCUGGUCAAUGUUGCAUACUGAAGAGCACCUAUGGUGCUUCUGUAUAGAGUAACAUUAGAAAAGGGUUCACUAUCAGUUUUAGUAAAAGCCACUUCAGAAAGCAUAGAAGUAGAACAAGGUGUACUAUCCUGCAUGUGCACCUUGGCAAGCAAAUCAGUGAUAUACUUGGAUUGAGAAAGAUGAAUACCAGAUUUGUUGUAAAGGACCUGAACUCCCAGAAAAUAAUUCAAUGCACCAAGAUCUUUAAGUGCAAAAACAGACUGGAAGUUAGUGAUAGUCUGCUGAACAAGCUGAGGAUUGGAGCCUGUAAUAAUGAUAUCAUCUACAUACACCAAGACAAGUAGCAGAUGACCUUGUGUGCUCUUAAAGAAGAGUGAAGUAUCUGAAAUAGAAUUUGUAAAACCCCAUUGAGUUGUAAGAACUAAUUUGAGUCUAUCAAACCAUGCCCUUGGAGUCUGUUUAAGUCCAUAAAGAGCUUUGUGCAACUUACAGACAUAAUCAGGCCUGGAACUAUCUACAAACCCCUCAGGCUGUUGCAUAUAAACUUCUUCAGUGAGGUAGCCAUUAAGGAAGGCAUUAUUAAUGUCUAUUUGCCUUAGUACCCAAUGAUUCAUGACAGCUAUACUCAAGACAAUUCUGAUAGUUGAAGACUUAAUGACAGGACUGAAUGUUUCAUGAAAAUCCAGCCCUUGAGUUUGAUGAAACCCCUUAGCAACAAGUCUAGCUUUGUAUCUAAAGACACUGCCAUCAGGAUUAUAUUUAAUCCGAAAUACCCACUUAUUCCCAAUUACUUUAAUGGGAUGUGUAGGUUUGACAAGAGUCCAUGUAUGAUUAUUGAUUAAUGCUUGAUAUUCAUCUGUCAUUGCUUUAUGCCAAGCUGAAUCUUGAAGAGCUUUUGAGGUAGUAGCAGGUUCUGUAGGUUUGGUAGGAUUGGCUGUAAUAUAGGCUUUAGGUUUGAAGAUACCAGCCUUUGAUCGAGUGAGCAUUGGAUGACCAGUAGAUGACUGCAAUGGUGGAGUUAAAUGAUGGACAGGUGAGGUAGAUGGUUUUGAGUGUGAUUGUAUAGAAGAUUGAGAAGAAGAGUCUGGAGAGGAUUGAGAGAACCUGAGAUCAGCUGCUGUAGAGGAUGAAGACUUGGUUAUAUCAAGUUGAAUCAAAAGACAAACAGAAGAUGAACAAUGUGAAGAAGAUUGAGAUGAAUGAUCUGAAGAAGAGCAAGAGUGACUGACAGAGGAAAAAUCAACUCCUGACUGAAAAGGAAAACAUAACUCAUCAAAAGUAACAUGGUUACUGACAUAGAUUCUACUAGAGGAAUGAAGACACAAGUAGCCUUUGUGAAGGGAGCUGUACCCAAGAAAAAAUACAUCUAGCAGUUCGAAACUCUAGCUUAUGAUGAUUAUAAGGCCUCAGAUAUGGGAAACAAGCACACCCAAAAACUCUCAUAACAGAAUAAUCUGGUCUUUUGUGGAAUAAUUUUUCAAAUGGUGAUUUGUUAUCUAGAAUGGGCGUAGGGAGCCUAUUUAUGAGAAAUGUGGCAGUAUGGAAAGCAUUCCACCAAAAUUUCAAUGGUAAAUGUGCUUGAGCAAAAAGAGUAAGGCAUGUUUCCACUAUAUGUCUAUGUUUGCGUUCAAUCUUUCGAUUUUGAUGGUGAAUAUAAGGACAAGGAUGUCUAAAUUGGAUUCCCUGCUCAGCAAGAUAAGAAAGAAAUGGCCUAAAUUCACCUCCCCAAUCUGUUUGAAGACAUUUGAUUUUCCUAUUUAGGCAUUUUUCUAUCAUAUGCUGGAAUUCAAUAAAGGUUUGUAAGGCUUGAGAUUUGGUAACAAGAGGGAAUAUCCAGGUGAACCUAGUGAAGUCAUCUAAGAUGGAAAGAUAGUAGUGAUAGCCUUGAGAGGACAGCAAAGUAGCUGGUCCCCAUAGAUCAGCAUGCAACAACUCCAGUGGUUGAAUGGUAGUGGUGUCUACAAAGGGAAAAUGCUGCAUGUGACACUUUCCAAAUUGACAAGCAUUACAAAAAAUUGGUUUGAGGACUCUAUUGGUAUCGAGAGAAUGAUGUAAAUGCUUCACAAUUUGUUUAAGAGCAUGCACAGUUGGAUGACCCAUUCUUUUAUGUAAAACAUUGUAAUCAACUGAGUUUGAGUGAGUAACAGACAAGGCCAUUGAGGCUUCAUUAUUGAAUUGAGAAAUAUUUACAUCUGUCAAAAUUUCUCCAGAAUGUAUAGAGUUUGAAACAUUGGAAUGACUAAUCAUUGACACUGGAGAAGAACAGACAUUUGACACAGAACUGGAAUUUGAGGUGACACAGAAAACAUUAGACUGAACUCUAUUUGAAACUGCAGCAUGAGACACUGCAACAAGACCUUCAACUUGAUAUAAUCCUCCUCUAGCAAUCCCCUUGAGCAAGAUGAUCCCUGAGUUCUUGUCAUUGACAAAACAGAAUGUUUUAUAGAAUUCAACAACAACAUCAUUGUCAGCCAGUAGUUUAGAUACACUUAAAAGGUUUUUGGUUAUAGCUAGGACAUGCAAAAUAUUAUUGAGAUAGAUAGAUGUUGCAGCAAGUGUAUUCAAUCGUGUGCAGCCAACAUGUUUAAUAUGUAAUCCCAUGCCAUUUCCUACAUGUAGCUUAUCAAAACCAUGAUAAACUGAGUAAGAAGAGAAGAUACCUGCUUCCUUAGUCACAUGAUUUGUUGCUCCUGAGUCAAUAUACCAAGCAGGAUCAGCUACAACUCCAUAAUCAACAACUGGACCAGUGGAAGCAAAUUGUGCAGUGGGAAUAGCAGAAGGAGCAACUCCAUAGUUAGCAAAUGGAGUAGCAAUUGCACCAUUGUAUUGACCUUGUAAUCCUUGAAACACAGGAAACCCUUGAGGAUACAUAACAUUUACAUUCUGAUAUGCAACAUUCCCUUGAAACAUGGGUGCAUUAUAUCUAGGAGCACCAGUUGCAGUUCCAUAAAAAUUUCCAUAACCUCUGCCAAACAUGUUCUGAGGCUGACCAGGAAAGCCUCUAAAAUUGAAUCCACCUCUAGGCCUAAAGCCACCUCUUCCUUGUCUAGGAAUAAAGUUCAGAUUAAAUAUGUUCCUGCAUUUGUAUGCUCCAUGACCAGGUAUGAAGCAUAUUUGACAAAUCACUUCCUUAUCAACAUUAUAUCCUCCUUUGCCAUUAUCCAUUCCAGUAAAAUUUCCACCAUUAAAACCUCUCUGAUUAGCAUUAUUUAACUUAUUGUAAUUCUGUCCUUUUUGAACAAAAUUAGCUGACAUAUCAUGCAACAAUUCAUUUUGCACCUUUCCCUUACUCAUCUCAACCCUAGUUUCAUGACUAAGCAUUAAGGAAUACACUUCUUCAACAAUGAGAUUAUCUUUUUCCAGCCUAGCAAGUAUAGUUGUCACUAAUGACUCAUAAUUGUCAUCUAAACCAGUAAGCAAAUGCAUUAUAAAAUCUGUUGAAGCAAGAGGAUUACCACCAAUAGCUAAGUUGUCUGCAAUUUUUUUCAUCUUAUCGAAGUAAUCACUUACUGACAUAGCUCCUUUCUUUGUGGUUUGAAUCUGCAUUUUCAGAGGCAUGUAUCUAGCCUUUGACUGUGACAUGAACAUCUCGGCAAGUUUCUCCCAGAUCUCAAGUGAGGUAUCACAAUCCACAACCAUGAUAAGUACAUUGUCUACCAUAGAUGACAACAUCCAGCUCUGUAGAAGCUUCUCAGCUUUCUUCCAAUCAAUAUAGUCAGAAUUUUCACGUCUGCUUGAGCUAGGAGCUUCUGAUCUACUGGCAGCAUUCUCAUAUGAGGAAAGAAAACGAUAUGGACAAGGAGAUUCACCAUUGAUAAAACCUUCAAGACCAUUGGCAAUAAUCGAAGCUUGAAUUUGAGCUCUCCACACCAGAUAAUUUGUUCGAUCAAGUUUUGUUGGUUGAAUAAAGGAAAAAGAAAGUGAAGACGAUCCUGAAUUGCUUUGAUUCGUCAUGUUUCAUAGCUCUGAUACCAUAUUAGAAUUCGUAAUGGGAUGUUUGGAAACAAAGAAAAAAACAGAGAAAAUGAAAAAGGAAACUUCUCGAUUUUAUUAAUCAAAAUAUUCAAUACUUAUUAAGCUUACUUAGCUAAGCUUAUAUACAAUUAUUCUAACUAAUUAAACAACUUCAAACCAACUAACAACUUCAUAUUUAGUUUAGCCAUUGAGCUCUUGCCACAUGUCAUUCAGUUACAUUCAAUCUUGACACAUCAGUCAACUCUAUCCAGCUCAGCAACUAUAUCUUCAACAAAGUAUGAUAUAGAAAAGAAUUUAAAAUUAAAAAAAAAAAGUAAAAUAGUAAUUUGAAUUUAACGAGAUUCAUGUACAGGAAGAAAAGGAAUUAAUAAAGUGAUGAAAGAUUGGUAAUCGUGGCAAGUAAUCUUAUCCAUGUACGCGGCGGCACGACCCAGGACUUGGAAAUUAAAUAAUGAAACUUCUUUGCAAACUUAGAAACUACAAAUUAAUGAAGAGACUUUGACGAGUAAUUUAUCAUUUUAUGCAUGGAAUUCCACGUGCAUGCAUGCAUGUUCUCCACGCUUGGAAAUUUUGCAAACGGCCUCUCCCUUUGAUGGGAGGGACAGUUUUCGUACAUCAAUUUUGAAAAUGUCCUCUAACAAGUGUCUCGAUUAUUGGAUAACAUGUGCAGUCCUUUUCAUUAAUAACACGUCCUUCAACAAUCCUCAUUGCAAUAAAGAAUUUACGGAAAAUUUCUAUAAUACAUCAUACUACAAAGUUAGUCAUACAACAAAUAGAUAAUACUUAUAUUUUAUAAAAUUAUCAUGUAAUUGAUGAUUAUAUCAAAUUUAACUACAUAUAUUAUAUAUACAGUAGUUGAUUAUAUUGUCUUUGAUGUAUUGUAAAAUUUCUGAUUUUAUGGACAUAUAAUAUAGAUUAUCAAGGUUUAAGUUUUUUCACACGCGCGUGCACACACACACACAUAUAUAGAAGUGACUAAUGAGCCUUUUUCUUUUUUCAUUUUGAGAAAAUCUCAAGUACAUAAAAUGUAUUAUAACCAUUUAGUGAAAUGAGUUAUGACACAUGCAUUUUGAUUUUAGUAUACUAUAAUUAUCUUCUUCUUCUUCUUUUUUUUCCAACUUAAAUGCACACAAGGAUGGCAAUGGGGAGAGGAGGGAGGAGACUGACCUCCCUGUACCCAUCCCCGAAAUUCUACAUAUGUAUCAGUCCCUUCCCUGUCCUCAACAAAAUUGUUGUAGGGAAUUUUCGUCCCCUCCCUGAAUAAUAAUAGGGGAUCCUUGAGGGUCCCCGAUCUCCGAAUAACCGAUACGUUAUUUAGUU
rnacentral:lncRNA from 1 species